UUGAGACAAUAGGAUAAAGAUGAAAACAAAUAGACCUGGUGUUGUAGCUUGUCGGCGUCACGGCCGUGAACAGGCACCGCAGUUCCAUAAACGUGCAGCUCGCGAACUAUCGAACAUCUUCCCAGCAGCUCGGGGCAUGUAGCGUUGGGACCGCAUUUUCUCAGGCGCAGUAAACCCACCAGUAUAUCCUAGAUGAUCACUCUCAUGCAAGAUAAGCAUGAUAAGCAUAAGACUUUGAGAAAGCUUUAGGCAAAAUACCUGUCUAGUGUCUUCAUAAGCCAGAAACGUCUCCCAGCCUCUGUUAGCACAGUAGUCACGCCUUACUAGCUCUACUUCUUCAGGCUUGAUUUGAUUGUGUAUAUCCUGCAAAAGAAUCAGAAUUAUUAGUUGAAUGUUACUUACUCGUGAGCAUGUGAGCAAACCUGAAUCCCAGCUUCUCUUGUCCUGACAUCUCUAAAUUUCAAGCCCAAGUCCUCCAUCCCCAUCAACGCCAGCUCUCACAGGUUUCCCUUCUCGACGCCCUACGUUACAAGAGGCAUGGGGAUGUCACGUUGUAUGCGAUAGACCCGAGUCCAGGGAGGUACCAGAGACAACACUCGGGCAACCAGAUUGACGAGUUGUUCAGGUGGAUAGUUCUUGUACCUGUAGCAAUCAGGAUGCACAUCAAUUUUGUCUCGGAGAAAAGACCAGCAAAUACACUAACCUUCCAGUCUUCCAUAGCUCGUACAAACCUGUCCCUCGAAUAACCAGCGUUGGAUAGAUUUUGAGGCCGUCCGCUCGAAAGGAAGGAUUUUCAAAAAAAUCGCGGAAGCUUUCCAUGUCCCGUUCCAUAUCGACGUUUGGAAAGUUAGGCAUCAUAUGAGCAACCACCUGAAAUACAUAAUCAGCGAAAGAAGUUCGUGUAGGAAAUGCCAUCGGACCUUAAAGCCAGCGUCCUUGGCAAGGCAAAAGCAGUCGGCAACAGCAGCAACAGUAUGGCCCCGGUUAGUAUCUCGAGCGACAUCUUCGUACGUGCUCUGCACCCCAAUCUCAAGCCGCGUACAGCCAUAAGACAACAUCUGGCGCAAGUGAGGAGACAGACAGUAGUCGGGACGCCUGCAACAGCGAGAAAAACGAAAUUAAGAAACCAGGUGAUUGAAAGAAACCACGCAAGCCUUACGUCUCAAUGGUCAGUCCAAUGCACUUGAUGGCAGCAUGCUCUGAGUAUCUCACGGCUUCCUCCACAUUUCGAGAGGUGUGACCAGACAGAGCGUCAUGGAGAUUUCGGAUAAAAUAGUCGCGGUAGUCUGCUGGCAAAGACAUGAAAGUACCUCCCAUAAGGAUACAUUCAACCUGUGGCGAUCACCUUUGCUCAGUGACAGAGAAGAGAAUCCAUAAACUUGAUCACCUUAUCCACGCUAUGGCCCAGACGCCUGAGUUGAUCCACUCGACCUCGAGCCUGUAUAUAAGGAUUGUACCUGAAUAUUUUUUUGCUAGCAAAAAAAGAAAUGAAAAAGACUAUAGAAUUUACCUUGCUCGAAUUGCUCGCAUGCUCAUUGGUUCAUACCCAGUGUAGGACUGUGUGCUAUAUUCGAAGUCCGAAUCUGGGCCUCCCGGGCAGCAGACACAGAUAGGCGAUGUGUGGGCACCGAUGCGGCUUGGACAUGACGGCAACCACGGCAAUCCCAGAGGCAGUGCGCACAGGCUUGGCCUUGAGCCUGGGCAGGACGAGAUCGCGUCUCUGGCAACGCCGCGAUCGUCUCCACGAGCUUUGGCGCUCGGGCAAGGCCGUAGCGGCGGCAAGCAGCGGAUUUAAGCGCAUUGAGAUCGACGUCCUCACCACUGCGGCGUCCUUCCACCAUAGCCCCUACAAUCUCCGCAAUUGCCCGUACCCUGGCCUCGUCCUCGCUCAGCCGCUGCUGGACAACACCUCCCCGUCCCGGUGUCAAUUUCCUGCGCUCCACUGCCAUUUGCCGCUAAAACCCUAACCCAAGAACCCUAAAAGAAAAAGUUGAAAUAUAUUUUUGACCAGCCAUCGCUCCAUUCUAGCCCUAAAUUCAAACCUGUUAAUUAUUUCUUUUUUUUUCCUUUAAAAAUUAAGUUAUUUUGAAUUUUUUUUUAAUCAGUUUUAACAAGUCCAUUGCUAUUUAAAUUUUUGGUUUGCUUAAGUAAACGUUAUAGCGGUCAAACCAGGACCUAUUUUCAUUCAUGGACUGAUGUGGUCACAGCAACAAAGCCUCAAAGAAAACACACCUUUCUAGUCGUAAUGUCUACCAAACACGCCACACGCUCAGACUCUGCUCCCCACCUCUGAGGUAUCAAUCUCCUUUCUCCCCAACCUCGCAAAAACCCUCCCUCAAGAUGUCCCACCACGUCAGCCUGUUCGCCAAGAAGCGCGAUACAACCAAAAAAUAGAAAAAGUUAGGGUUAGGGUUCGACAGAGUUAAGGCUUUGCUAACUAGUCACCGAUUCGAACAGCGUUUACUUGUGUGUCCUCAACUCCUAGACUAAUGUCACAUGCAUUGUGUAGUCAUUUCCUCUUUUUCGAAGGAGAGACUUGAAAAAACAUAGGUCUGAUUGAGCGCUCUCUAGGACUUCUAACAUUGCUGUGGAAUAUCAAAUUAGAGAAUCGUAAUUCUGUGGCUAACACUGUCCAUGGCAUUGCACUCUCUGUUUGCUGAGCCAAAAUUGUCAUCUUAGCUUGAGUUGGCUGAUCUAUUACCAAAUAGGGCCCAUCGUACCGUGAAGAACACUUCCUUCCUAGGAUGCCUUGCACCACAACUUUGGCCAUGACAGAAUCUCCAACACCAAAGGGAUGAUCAUUGAUUCUUUUUCUUGUAGUUCCUUGAAUAACGAGCUUGUGCCUGUUCAAUGUUUGCUCUUGCUCUUUCUUCCAAGAUUGGCCUGUGAUUCGAGCUUUCUCCAAUGUAGUUCUGGGAUUCAAUACCAUCAUUGGUUGCGGUGAGAUCUCGCUCAAAAGGUGAAAAACCUGUGGACUCGUGUCUUGUUGUUCUGUAAGCAAAGAGUACUUCCGGCAAAUCAUUGUCCCACUCCCCUUUCUUGAGCAAAAUAUUUACUGAGACCAUCUUUUCUAGUGUCUUGUUUAAGCGCUCUACCAUGCCAUUAGUUGAAGGUUUGAAUCGUCCUGUCAGGGUGUGCUUCGCACCCAUUCUGCAGCACAGUAGGGAGAAUGCCUCACUGCAAAACUCUUUUCCCCUGUCAGUAAGGAUCUCCUCUGGGACUCCAUGUCUUAAGAUAACAUCCUCGUAGAUAAACUCCACAGCAGUCUGAGUAGAUUUGUCUUUUACUGCUCGUGCCUCAACCUACUUAGAGAAGUAGUCCAUGCAAACAACAAUAUAUUUGUUGCCAUGUCUGGAGGGGAAGUUGAAAGGUCCAACAAAAUCAAGUCCCACCCUUGCAAAAGGCCCUCCAAUUGGCAACGGCUGUAAUUCUGAGGUUAUAGAUGACCGCAUUGGAGCAUUAGAGAUCUUGCAAGCCGUACAUGAGGCUAUCACCCGAUCAACAUCAUUCCUCAUACCAAUCCACCAGUAAUGCUGCUGUAAAUCAUCUAGGAUCCUGUUCCGUGAUAAAUGUCCCGAUAAAGAGGAAGCAUGGUAUCUAGCACGAGCUCAUCGACCUCAUCCCGCUGAACUAUCAACAGGUAUUGAUUCAGCUCUCUUGAAGCGAUGUACAUUAGCUUGCCAUCUAGCACACCAAACUUAUCUCUUCCUCAAUUGAGUUUUCUCCUCACUGACUUGUCAAUGCCAGGAACAAUCUCUCCUGAUUCAGCAAAGGCCAAGCGCAGUUUGUAUUCUUCGCGAUCCAUCUGAAGUCCAAAGCAGGGAUAACUACCUCAACCAACCCACACACUUAAAUAAUCAAGUCCAAAUGGGGAUGCUCACGCGGAUGGAACUACAACCCAGAACAGGAAUGAUAAAUAUUGCCAAUACGAUUAAACAUGAGAACUAUAGCAAGAAAAUUCAACAAGUUUGUGAGACAGUCUAGCUGUGAAAGGCUCUGGAUAACCCAUCUGCGUUCGAGUUUUGUGAGCCUCUUUUGUAAACAAUUUCAUAGUCAUAUCCCAUUAAGUAAAUCGACCAUCGCUGGAGACGACCUGAGAGUGAUCCUGAGCCUUGAAGAGCCUUGAGUGCUUGGUGAUCAGUUUCGAUUUUGACUUGGGUGCCAUGGACAUAAGCACGGAAGUGUUUGAGUCCCUGUACUACAGCAAGACAUUCCUUUUCCGAAAUGGAGUAAUUUUGCUCAGCUUUCUGCUAUAAUAAGCAAUGGGAUGUUCUGCAUUGCCAAUCUGUGCCAAUAUUGCUGAUAUGGCAAGUCUUGAUGCGUCGCACUGCAAAAGCUGCACAAGAUGGAUCAAUACAUUACCAGGCAACCACAAUACCUGCAAUCAGGAUAAGAUAAUAUAGGCUACUUGCACAGCUCCCGCUUUAGUUCUUCAAAGGCGUUCUGCUGCUUGGCACCCCAAGCGCUCCGACUGCUUUAGAAGCUUUGUCAGUGGCAAGGCCCUUUCUGCGAUUUGUUGAUAAAUCUUCGAUAAUAGCCAGCCAGACCAAGAAAGGCUUUAAUCUGCAUCGAGACAUUAGAGUUCCAAACACACGAAGGAGAACUCAUGUACCUACUUCUUUCCCUCAGGAAUAGGAAACUCCUUCACUGCUGAUAUUUUCUCUACCAGAUACCACAUGUCCAAGAAACUUAAUUUCGCGCAUGAAGAAGUGACAUGUUUUUGGCUUAAUCUUCAGACCUGCUGCUUUCAAUCUAUAAAAUACCUUUCUGAGGUCUGUGAUGUGGCUACAUACUCCCCGAGAAUAGACAUUAACGUCGUCUAUAUAGACAAGUGACGAUUCCCAUCUGAGCGUACCAAGGACACGGUCAAUAAGUCUUUGAAAAGUAGCACUCGUGUUACAUAGCCCAAAAGGCAUGCUUUUGAACUGGUACAAACCAUCCCGGCAUGUAAAAGCUGUCUUUUCCUUAUCCUCUUCUCUCAUAGGCACUUGCCAGAAUCCAGAGGCUAGAUCAAUUGCGGAAAACACCUGAGUUACAACACAUAAGUACCAGCAUACCUCUCUCUCAGACAUCUACCUGUGCACCAGCAAGCUGGUCGAGUGUAUCAUCUAUUUGUGGUAGUGGAUAAACAUCACGCUUAGAAAUGGAGUUCAACUUGCGAUAAUCAAUGUAGAAUCUGGUUGUGCCAUCCUUCUCGACGAGAACCACUGGCGAUGCCCAGGGUGAUGAUGAAGGCUCAAUUACGUCAGCAUCUAACAUUUCCUUAAUCUCCUUGGAAACAAUCUUCCACUGUUUGGGAGUUUCACGGUAUGCAUGCUGCUUGAUAGGCCUGCUUGAGGAAGUAUGGAUCUCAUGAUGAAGCAUAUCAGUUUUGCCCAGGUCAAGAGUUCCAGUACUAAAAAUCUCCUGAUAUUGCCACAGCAACUCAUCAAAUUCAGAAACGAGAUCCGUACCUGAGAGCAUAUCUCCAACUUUUAGUUCUCCUUUUAUCCUCCCAAGGAAUUUUAGAGCCUCCUCAUCUAGUGGCAGCUUUUCUGACGACAUACAGCUCACUCCCCCAACAUAAUUUUUGAAUGGUUCUGGCAAUCCAAGAGCAUCCAAACCAUAAGCAGCUGUAUAGCACACAAUGUCUGAGAUAUCUUUGCAUGCUGCCUCGGCUAUAGGAUCACCCAACUUGACGUGCACUGUGGAGGUUGUCAAGUUUGCCAUAAGGAUGUCAAGCUUGUCCUUAUAUGCAGAACUAAUUAUUCCAUUAGCUGCCUCUCUAGAGUGCCUGAUAUGAGGACCACAAGUGAUGAACGUUCCCUUGCAGCAACAAAUAAAGAAUUGUGUUGGGACAAAUGCCUACAUGUACUGGGCAUGAAUACAUGCAGCAUGGAACAAAACAAAUUAAAUCACAACCUAUGACAUAGGAGGAAUCGUAAUGUCUGCGUCCGCUUUUAGUAGCACCACCUUUUGAUCAACCAAAAAUACUUUGUUUGCAAUUGCCUCUGCAAAGAGCAACCACAGCUUGUGAGGCAACAUCAAUCUGGAUGCCAUGUUACCUUUGCAUGGCUCCUUCCACAGAUACAUCCCUUGCUUGAUUGGAGCAAAUGUUUUAAACUCGGAAGUGCAACAAAAGGCUUUGUGUGAAGAUUCAGGUUUAAGCAGACCCCCCAACUUCACAGGUCUGUGACCAUUGGAGAAAGUGAGUUGCCUCUCCCUUAUUUCAAUCUUUGCACCUAUAGCAUCCAUCCAAUCAAGUCCCAACAGUGCUGCAUUUGCACAAGUGACUAUACAUGUCAUCCUCACUGCUGUGUUCCCAACCUUCAAAUCAAGGUUGACUAGACCUCGAGGUGUAUAUAGCUCAUCAUUGACCAUGUGUAUACGUAUGUGAUGACAAGGGCAUACCACCUUGGAGGCCUCAGUUACCCACUUUUCUAGCACUGUUGUCACUUCAUAGCUUGUGUCCACCAUGGCCACCACUCUCUUAGAGAAAUCUGAGUUCAACCAUAGAGAUAAUGAAUUGAUCUUCUUUUGGUCCACCAUAUCAUGACCACAACAAAAUUUUGUGACUGUAGUGUAAGCAAUCAAAGAGAACAACUUAAAAGACAGUCCAUAGGGUUCAAAUAUAGAGGGAAAGGGCCCAUGAAUAAAAGUGCAUCCCUUUUUCCAAUUGGUUAAUGGUCUUGGGAUAUUUGGGUUAAGCGUUCUAGGGUUUAAAUAGUACUGGGUUGGGUGACCUCCCGGGAAGUCCAAAUUCAAAAUCUUACAUUUGGUAUCAGAGAAGUCUCAAGUUUGAUUCUGUUGGUUAGUUUAGGGGAAUCACAUUUGAGAUUAACAUUUGGCAAGUUUAGUUUGCUUCUGGCUAGGCUAGACCCGAGGGGUAGGGUGUCAAGAGAGCAAGGCUCUCGGGAGAGAUGCGGCUCUCAACUUCCAUUCACGAGGGCGUGAAUUUGCAAAGGAGCAUGAUGGAUUGUAAAUAACCAAAGAGAACGGCUUGAGAGACGGUCUAUAGGGUUUAAAUAUAAAAGGAAAGAGCCCAUGAAUAUUUGGGGUUAAAUGUCCUUAGGUUUAAAUAAUACUGGGUCCCAAGAAGUCUAAAUUCAAAAGCUUAUAUGUAGAAAGAAGGGUAGGGUAUCCAUUAUUUGCGUCUGACCCUUGCACAAGCGCAAGCUCUAGUUUAAAUUCUCUUCCGAAGACUUUGCUUUAAGGGCCUCAACUUACCGGUUCAGGUCAUUGUGUCACUUCUCUAGGUCAGCAAUGUAGGUACAAUCAUGCUGAAUGUGGCCCUCUUUCCCACAAGUGUAACAACCAAUCCUUUUGCUAGGUCCCUUGUCCCUUUCCCCAUCAGUAGGUGCCAACUGCUUGACACCACUACCUACCCUGGAACCAUUGGUAUAUCUGUUUUUUUUUAGACCAGUUACCUCUCAAGAAAGUCUCACCUCUUUUGGCAUCAUGGUGGUAUUCCUCUGGCUCUCCUGAGUCAUCACUCUCUUGUACCUAUGGCUGAGCAACACAUGUUGUAAUUGCUUUGGGUUUCCACUUUUUUAAUGCUUUUGCUGCCACAGAAAGCAAUUUGUCCAUAGAUCUCAUUUUUGCAGUGAUCAGAUAAGGCUGCAAAUCCUCACGAAAGCCUCAAUAAAAAGCUUGCUUCACCAUCCUUUCUACCUUUUCAAUGUCAUUAGAGAUAUAUGUGGCAGCCCGUUAUAGAACAGCCCAAUAUUGCUGCACAAUUUUGCCCUUUUGAUAAUUUUUUGUAUUGAUAAGUUCAAAGGCUUUAUCCUCUAGAUCCCCAAUGAUGAAGAGCCUCCUGACCAAAGCUAUGGCCUCAUUCCAUAAUGUGUGAUAAACAUUCUUUGUGCCUCUCUUGAGAAAGCUAUAGAGUGAAUGCCUUGCAUAGUGAGGGUAUGUGCGGAAAAAGAUAAAAAUUGUGGCCCAAGAAGUGAUGGAAUGGAUGGAAUGGAGGCCAUAUUAUGGUGGAUGAUAUAGAAGAGGACUAUGUGUGAUCUGAUGUCGCAAUUGGAAGUAGUAGCUAAUAUUGGGAUUUGAUGUAGAGUGUAAGAUGAAAUGGCCAAAUGCAGCUAGAAGCAUGUGGAGUGAGAAAAUUUGUUUUCUCCACUGAUGAGUGGCUGGAUGCUUGUUCUAUGUAGGCCCAAUUGACUGAAGAAAAGAGCUAGAAUGUCUCUAGAUUUACUGCAAGUCUCAUACUGUGAUGGUUUAAAUUGUAUCUUUUGUCUCCAACGUCCAAAAAAUUUGAUUUUUAUUGCAUUAUAUUGUUGAAAGUCUUCUCAAUAGAGUGAUGUUGGAAAAUCCUAAGUACCAUGUAUAUAUGGUGUGGAAAUAAUGAAAAACAGAGAGUGGGUAUUUGUGAUGAUGGAAUGCAAUAAUUAUAAAAGUGAAUAGAGUAAUGAUUUGUGAAUAUAAAUGAAUGGGAAUGAAGAUGAGAAUGUGUUCCCAAAAGUGAUAGAGACAAGAACCUGGGAACCAAGAGGAAAGGCCGGAAGAUGAACAAGCUCCUAGACAAGUGGAGUUAAGGCCACCUUGAGGCUAGAAUCUAAGCUUGAGCUUGUGUUGGCAAGAGGAUAUGGCCUAGAAGGACAUGAGAAACAAGUGAAAACAAAGAAGAAAAAAAAAGAAAGUUAAAAGCCCAAAGAGAGGAGAGAAUUCACUACUAGUGAAGAAGGUAAGUCAAGCUUUUCUUAAGUGUUGUUGUGAAGGAGCUCCCCUUUGGAGGGCAAAAGAAAUCCUAGAGAAAGCCUUGGAUUCCAUAAAAAGUUAAGCUGAAGUUAGGCAUGAUGAUCUAAAGUUUGCGGUGUCGAGAGAAUUCGAGACCACAAGAGAUAUUGAUAUAAGACUUGGAGUAUGGUGUUUAGUUGUGUUGGCUGCUCCUAGAUGGAGAAUGUUGAUGCUGUUGAAGAGGAGAAACUCACACUGAGUGUUUGUAAAAGUCUAGUGGGCAAAAAAAGUGUUGAUGCUUAGGAAAGCUACCACAAAAUCGAAUGAAUUUUGUGGCUAUGGUCGGGUUGGACCAUUAGAAUGAAAGAAAUAUAAAGAAGUAUAAGAUAAGAGGGAGAAGCUUUAAAAUCACACUUGGUAUUAUUGCAUUGCAACUAAUUUAUACCAAGGAUGAAGUCAAAAGCUUGACUUAGCACCAAUUUGAAUUUCAAGCUUGAGAUCUCCCACACCAACAGUUAAGUCAGCCUCAUGCUAUGUAUAUGCAUGUGUAUAGCUGUUGCCAUAAAAAUAAAAAUUGGCUCUAUAGCAAAAUUGAACUAUAGUUGACAAUGUGUGGCAAUAGGUUGAGCAAUAGAAGAUAAACUUAAGCCUAUAUUAAUCAAUAUGAAGAGAAUAAUAAAAAACCUUUUGUUAUAAAAAUGAGUUCGGAAAGUAAACAUUGGAUGAAUUAGUGCUUGUAAGACAUAAAUCCCUAAGCUCUAAAGUGGGGCCGAAAGAGUGCUACAUGAUAGUGGCCAAAGUGGAAUUUCAACGAGCAUAACAUGUUUGGACUAAAAACUCUGACUCAAAAAGUUAAGAGUAGGAGUGGAACUCCUAACGAAUUACUUAAAGAACGAGUAUAAAAUGAUCAAUAAGUGAGUCUCUAGAAAGGGAUACAAGAUGGACACACAGUUGAAUAAUCAAACUCAGUUGAUGGUAGUAUUCAUAGCUUGUGGUAUAACUCCUCUUGCUUUUGUUACAAAUCUUCAUAUUGAAUAGAGUUUUUUCAUGGGAAUCUUAGGGAUGAUAUAUACCAUUAGUUUAAUCACUAUAUAGUGAUUACCACUUAUCAUUCUUAAAAUGAUGCUUGCCAUUUAUGUGAGUUUCCCAUAUGUUUUUAAGGGAUAGCAUUGCAAUGGGACAAUAGUUUAAGUGUAACCACUCAUGCAAAUUGGAGCUUUUUCUUGAAUUUUUUCAAAUGUGUAUUUACGUAUGCUAAUGAUUAUGAUGAUACCUUCCAACAAUUAUAUUAUCUUUAUCAAUGACCACCUAAAUUAAUAAUACAAUUUAGCAUUCGCUUCCAGAGUUUCUUGUUUUGUGUGGAGCCAAAUAUGUUAGGAGGGAGCAAGUUAGGAAUGUUGUGGUUGGAGCAAGUGCAUGCAAAAGUCCUACAAGAUUUUGACAAAGUGUUGUGUUGAUGAUACUACAAUAUUGUGAAAUAUCAUCUCUUCCACUUCUCAUUACAUGUUCUUCAGCUCCACUUUCUAUUGAUUGUAGCCAUGAUGUCCACUAUUGGGCAUAUGAUGAGGUUGGUCACACAUAUAAACAUUGUUAGCAUUUUCUAGAUUAACAUCCUCCAUUUCCUAACUGGAGGAUUUGGCAUCAACAAUAUCCUAUUAGUGUUGUUGCAAUAAAAGGUUUAUGUAAGUAACUAAAGAGAACGACUUGAGAUACUAUCCAUAGGGUUCAAAUAUACAAAGAAAGGGUCUAUAAAAAAGAGUACACCCGUUUUUCCCAUCAGUUAAGGGUUUUGGGAUACUUAAGGUUGCAUUUGAGUAGUAUUAGGUUGGGUGACCUCUCGAAAAGUCUAAAUUCAAAAUUUUAUAUUUAGUAUCAAAGAGGUCUUGAGUCCAACUUUAUUGGUUGGCUAAGGGAAUUAUACCACAUGUUGAGAUUGAUAUCUGGCAGGUUCAGUUUGCCUUCGGCUGGGAUCGACCCGAGGGGUAGGGUGUUAAAAGAGCAGGGUUCUCAAGAGAGCUACAGCUUUUAUCUUCUAUUCACCAGAUGAACUUGUAGGAAAAUGUGAUGGAUUAUAAGCAACCAAAAAGAAUGAUUAAAAAGACAAUCUAUAAUGAUUUAAAUAUAGAGGGAAAAGGCCUAUAAAAAAGAGUGCACCCCAUUUUCAAGGUUUUGAGAUAUUUAGGAUUAAGCAUUUUUGAGUUUGAGUAGUACUAGGUUGGAUGACCUCUCGAAAAGUCCAAAUUUAGGAGCUUACAAUCUAAAUAUUAAGAUUCUUCUAAAAAAUGAGGAAUUAGGUGAAUAGUGGAGGGUCUUUAUAUAAAUAAAUCAAUGAUCCUUUCAUCCUUCUUUCUUGAGUACCAUCAAGGGGUUCGCUUAACACUACAAGCAAUUAAAUUUUUCAUUCUACUUUAAUCACUUAAUUAUGCCUUUAACCAGUUGGAGGAGUCUUAUGUAUAACCUCCAUAAAUCUUCAUCCUAACUUAGGGCACUUGUUAACCCUCUUAUAACUACACUACCACCUAGUACUCUUUUUAUCUUUUGCCACUAAAUUGCCUUAUUGCAACUAAAGAAAAUUCCCACUCCCACUUUUACUCAUACUCCUACUCUUCUUCCUACUCCCACUCCUACUCCCUUAUUGCAGCUAUGGGCAUCUUGAGAGAGGGAGAGGGAAUAUUUUAAUUCUCAAAAUAUUCAUAUAAAAACCACAAAUAUCAAAGGUUUUGCAUUUUAUGUCUUAAGCUAAAGUAUGGAGAGAGAGAGAGCUUAAGACAUGAACAGAGCCAUAGAGAGGAGGAGGAUCAAGGUGCUAUACCUUAACAUGGUGAACCCAGUAUAACACAUAUCUUUUUUUUUUCUGGAGCAUUUCUUGAUUGAUGGAGAGGAUCUAUGGGAUUUGGAGUGGCAAUCUUGGAGAGGGUAGGCUAAGAGUGGUAGGAUUACCCCUAUAGAGAGAUUUCUGAGUGUUGGAGUGAGAUUUCAUCUUCUUGAAGCUAUGGCAUGCAAUGUCAGUUUUUAGUGGGGUUUUCUCCUUCGUCUUUGACCCAUUUGAGGGGCUCUUUUUUUGGGUAUGUAGAUCUCAGGCUUUUCCUUCCAUCAAGUAUAAGCACUUGUGAUCUAGUGGAGAAAUGGAGUUUUAGUGAUUUUUCUUUCAGUUUUUAUUCCUCUUCCUACAUCCAUCUUUUUUCAAUCUAAGCUUGAAUUCUAGGAAGAGAUUGUACCAAUUUGUUUGAUGGGCUCCUAAAUCUUGCUAAUAGCUAUCCAAAGAGUGGUUUGUUGGAGGCCAAUUCGUUGAGAGCUAUGACAUGUAUGCAUUUUUCUUUUAGCGUGCGAAUGCAAUUCACUAUGGAAGCUUUGCAAAGUGAGAAUUCUCUCCAUUUUGUGCAUCUUUGUAAAAUUUUGUUUCUAAGUGGUCUUAAGACAUGGAUAGAGCUAUCCAUCAUCCAAAUUUGUGCAUUUCCAUCAUUUUUUUUAAUCACAUUUUAGUUUCUUUCUUCCCCACACUAUAACAAUUUUUGAGUGCCAAUUUCUUGAGUGUCUAAAUCUUAUUUUCACUGUCGUUUGUUGUAUCGUGUGUGCUUUGCUCUGCUCUUCCUUUUGAGUCAUCACUUCAAUAUUUUCAUGGAGUUUUGAGCCAAAUUCAAGUCAUUUUCUCUAGCAUCGUAUGAUAAACGAAGUUGCAUACCUCUCUAACACAUAAAGUUCUUACCUUUCUUGCAAUUUCUUACAUCAGGAUUGUAAAUCCCUUUGUGAUAUCUUAUUUUUGUGUUGCAUCAUCUAAUUUGAUAUCUAAUUUCAUGAGAUUUUAUUGUUCUUCACUAACUUUCAUCCUUGUUUGAGUGUGAUUAUUAUUCUUAAGAUUUUUUCUCCCAUCUUACACUUUGCUUUUGCAAAUCUUUGUGUGAGGAUGAUCUAGCUUUUUAGGGUGACAUUGAGCCACUUUCCAGGUGAUUCCAAGAGUUUUUAAUAGAAAAGCACAACACUUGUUUCUUUUAGAGAUACCUUAACAUUUUCACGCCUCUUGGAAUUUUAUUUUGGAAUUUGCAACAUUCAUGACCAUUUAUUUUGGUUAUAAGCUUUGCUUAGGUGUUUGAGGAUGAUUCAACUUGCUAGAUUGGGUGCAUCACUUCAUAGCAUUUACCAUAUUUAGGCAUUUGCAAUGAUUCAAACAUUUUAUGCUGGUGAUAACACAUUCAUAAUCACCUAGAAGAUCAAUUUAGAAGGCACUAGUCUCCAUUCUUAAAGGCAAGUUUUCACAUUUAAGGCAAGAGUUUGAUUUCCAUAGAUUCAUAUCAAAUGAGGAGGAUUCACUAAAUCCAACAGAUGCUUUGACUAGGGAUUUGCAGCAACCAGUAGAGAUAGUUAAUCCAAUUUAUAUCCUACAGCAGGGUGUGGAUUUACCUUCACACUAGGAGCUUCACCAAUACGGAUUCAUAUAGUAAAAUUUAAGGUUUUUUAUGACUUAAAUGGAAUCACGAUGGCAAGUGCAACCACUUUCUUUGAUUGAUGCAUGGAUAAGUUCGAGUUUGGGUAGAGUCAUUCUUGGAUAUAGAGUGGGAAUGAUAUAUAGAGGUGAAGAGACUCUUCCUCAAGAUGUUUAGAUAGGAGAAGGAUCUUCAACAACUUCACACCGAGUUCUUUUCUUUCCUACAAACACAACAUGAGUUUGUCAUUGAGUAUAUUUGGUGGUUCAAGAAGCACUGGAAGCUAUGCCUCACUUAGAUCCCAUACCUAACAGAGAUAAUCGUGGUUACCACCUUUGUUUCAGGGCUAAAGCCACUCAUCCAAUGCAAACUUCUCAAGUAUAAGCAUAUUGAGUGUUGUUCAAAUUUUGAGCAUGCCAAGAAGGUUGAGAAGGAGCUUUGCCUCAUUCUAGGUGUCUCCUAAGUUGCCCAAUCUCCAUCCAGCCACCUCCUCAAGCAUCUGAUUGCAACAGUUUCUCACCAAUCUACACCCAAAGUUGUGAAAGAGAAAUAGCCACUAGUAUUGGAAUUUGCUAUUACUGAAUUUCGCUAAUACAAAAACCUCCUUGAGUGUCAAUAACAAGCUCUCUUGCAACAGCAACAACAAUAGACUACCAUUCUUGAGGAACUUAAGGCAUUGAGAUUUUAGCAAAUAGAAACAACAUUGAGAUGACCCUAUCAUUGGUGUACCCAUUGUGAGGCUAGUACACACUCAACAAAAUAGUGCUAUCACCUCCAUCUAGAGCUUUAACUUCCAAGGAGCUAAUGUGUCCAGGAGCAUCCACUUGCUGGUAACUUUGCACUUCGACCACCUCAAUAAAGAGCACGACUUAGUUGUUAACAAGUACUAGGUCCAACCAGCACAUACAAGUUGCCUUUUAAGUUGGCAUUUUUUGGCUCCCUUAUAGUUGAUGUUGGACCUUUUUAGCUUGACAGCACAUCUUCUCCGAGCUUGGCUAAUACAUCUUCCAUGACUCCUACCACAUCUUCAUCUCUUCUGACAUACAUCAUGUAAUAGCUAUUACGUAGCUCAAUCACCCUUUUACUCGGACAACUUUUACGAUCAGUCCCAAGAGUUGGAUAGCAGUUAGAAACUCUUGCAUGGUCCAACAAACCUUUUCUUCAUGCUAGAGAGGAGAUCCACAUCAUGGAUACCACAACAACAUAAGAUCUAGGAGCUUUUAUAGCAUUAGUCACAUUGGGAGAUAUUGUCAUAGCAGAAGCACUCUUGGAUUCAGGAUCAGGGAGUAAUGCCAUCUCUUUGGCAUUGGCAAAGUCUACUGGGUUCCAGAUCAAGAACAACACAAUCAUCAUCCUCAAAACCUUUGCAAACCAUACUAUGAUCCCUAUGGGUAUAUGUUGCAAAGUGCCUAUAUCAAUCCUAGGGAUCUCAUCAUUGGUGGAUUUUGUGGUGGUGCAUUUCCAGUAUGUAAAUGUAAGCGACUACAUUUUUCCAUUCUACUUUAAUCACUUAACCACACCUCCAACCACUUGAAGGAGUCUCAUUCACAACCUCCAUAAGUCCCACUCAGGACUUGGGGCUUGCUAGCCCCGAGAAUGGCAUCCAUGCCACUCAACCUUUGCACUUAGUCCCAGUGCUCCACGUGACCGGUCCCAUGACCGACACCCCAAGGCACCACCAACAUACCAGCUUGUUACGCUAGGCUAUGCCCAAUCACCUUGGUCACAUCAGUGGUCCCACACCUCCUACAUUGCAAUCCCGUCUCUCCAAGACUGGGCCAUCUGUCCAUGAGUGGUCAUCCCAGAUCCACUCUUUAGCAUCCUUAGGAUGCCCGCAGACAUGGGGAAUAGCCUUCCCCAAUAUCUCCUUUCUAGUCCCCACCAAGUCCCUUUCUGUCCUUGGCCGUGUUCGCCAACACUGCCACUAGAUCAGGGCCCACAGGCCCGACCACUAAGUCCCACGGUCCUCUGGGACUUCCUCACCGCAUGACUGUAUCCUUGGUCACUACACCAGAGGACUACUCCUCUUUCUUUCCACAGUCUGGGCCUUGGGACAACAUUUUGGAACACCGUGGCCUUACGCAAGCCUCGUGGGUACUCUCCCCGCCUUCCGCCUUUGGGUGCUCUAGCCAUGGGCUUAGAGCGAGGUUCCGUUAAGCCACAUUAGGUAUCCAAGUAGGUAGUGCCACCCACACUUGGGCUGGGAGCAUUGGCUAGUUGAUCUCCCGGGGGAACUAGAGUCGACUCUUGAACACUUCACCAAGCUACCCCGCUUGUCGGUUUGUAUUCACUUUAGUCUUGGACUUCCCAGUGGUCAGUUCAUCACCCAACACUGGGUCUAGCCUUCCUAGGCCAAAUUGGCCUUUCCUGGCCAAACUGGCUUUACUGCAGUCCUCCCCUUUACUAUACUUUUGGAGCUCACCAAACCCCCUAGGGUCUGGGAGAUGAAUGCUUUGGGCUUUCACCCUCUCAGCCUCGAACUCGAACUUGGACUCGGACUCGGACUCGGACUUGGACUCAGACUCGGACUCAGACUCGGGCUCGCUCUCGGCCUCGGUCUCGGUCGCGGCCUCGGUCGUGGCCUCGGUCCCGGUCCCAGUCCCGGUCCCGGUCCCGGUCUCGGUCUCGGUCUCGGUCUUGGUCCCGGUCUCAGUCCCGGUCCCGGUCUCAGUCCCGGUCUCGGUCUCGACCUCGGACUCCAUCUCGGGUCCUUCUCAGACUCCAUCUCGGAUUCCAUCUCGGGUCCAUCUCAGACUCCAUCUCAGACUCCGUCUCGGACUCCAUCUCGGACUCCGUCUCGGACUCCAUCUCAGACUCCGUCUCGGACUCCAUCUCGGACUCCAUCUUGGGUCCAUCUCGGACUCCAUCUUGGAUUCCAUCUCAGGUCCAUCUUGGACUCCAUCUCAGACUCCGUCUCGGACUCCAUCUCGGACUCCAUCUUGGGUCCAUCUCGGACUCCAUCUCGGACUCCACCUCGGACUCCAACCCGGGUCCAUCUCGGACUCCUUUUCAAACACUUCCACGUGUCAUGUGUUGGUCCUUUUGGGUCUCUUUUUGGAGCCUCGCUUAUUGCUCGCUUCAUGCUUGUUCUUUGAGCACUCCGUUGGGAGUUCCACUCCUGCUCUCAACCUUUCAAGUCGAAGCCUUUUAGUCCAAACGUGUUACGCUCGUUUGGCUUUUGCUUCGGCCACUACCACGUGGCACCCUUUCGGCUCCACUUUUGGGGCUUAGGGAUUUGUGUCUCACAACUCCACCACCCAUAGACGAAGUUUGAUGUCCUCAUCGAACGGUAAACCCUUUUAUAAAGUAACACUCGCAAGUAUUACCAUUUCCAUCCUUGGCACCCAGCCAAUACUUGUCUAUGGUUUGACCCCAAAGGCUCAUCAUGCCUUGUCCAUCUUCUAAGGGGCAUAGUCUCUCCAACAUAGAGACUCAUUCGGCCACCUGGGGUGGUUUGCUCCCUUUUAUUGGUUCAGUUCUUGCUAAACUCGUUAGAGACACCUUCUCUAACUCAAUUCCACUACUCAUUCUCGAGUAGUCCCAACUUCUAUUGACAUAACCAAUUCACCUUAGAACUUUUAAUUUUGACUUCUCGAAGUUAAUUUCUUUGGUGUCUUUGACACCUUUCACUACACAUAUUGUGCAACUUCACUUCCCAUCCUAGGAAGCUCCCCACUUGAGGGUGCCAUCGUCCUCCUUUCUAUUUUAUGCCACUUUUGGCACCAAGUUCCAACCAUCGUAAGUUGUGCUAGAGCUAUCCAUGGCCCUAUCCUUUGGCUACUUCGCUGCUCCCUCCCUUGGAACUUUCACCUUUGCCAACUUGGAGCAUUUGGGAAUCCAUCCUUGGAAGCACACUUCCUUUCUCACAAUCCGUUAGCAUUCAACACACUAGUGUUCCAUGCCUAACUUUGCCAUUUGGAUUCCUUCCAAUGAACUCUAUGGCCCACACUUGGCCACUAGUCUUUUGGUUUUAUCCAUUGAUUGUUGCACUGAGCAACAUAGGAUCACUACCUCCAUUCUCGAGGUAUCCUUUUAGUUCCAUGGCAAAGGCUUUACUUUGCUAAGUCCAACAGGUGCUCACCCUUAGUAGGUCUCUUUAGCAAUUUUUGCUCCGAGCUUCGUCCACAACCCAAUUUUGCGACCCUUCCAUGGGUCUCUCCCCAAGACUACUUUCUUGGACUUACUAUACCAUCGUAUUGGCACAAUUGAUUUCCCUUUAGGUGCCCUUCUCAUUUGGUCACCUUGACCAAGUCACACCAUUAUCAAUAGUUCAAAUCAACACUUUGAACUAGGAAUUAUAUUCCUUAACCCAAACAAAGACUUUGUCUUUGUUUAGCCACAAGAUCACCUGGUGAUCUCCUCUUGACCCCUUAACAGAUAUAUCAAUAGGAACAAGGUCUUCCAGACCCUUUUAAAUUGUUGACUAUGACCCCGGGGGCAUUCCCCACACUUAGCGGUGCGCCCAAGCUAGCCCUUCCAGCCAAGGAUCCAUAGCAAUUGAAAUUGGGUGUCCCCAUCUCAUUCACCACGUCCUUGGUGCCUUUUGCACCAAAGUGUUCAAGUUAGAUAUGCCGAGCUUUCACUCUAAACAAUCUAACCAUGCAUCACGACUCUGAGGCAUCCCUUGUUUGGCAGUGUGCCCAAACCAGUCUCCUCACUAAGAGUCCAUGACCACCGAAAAAUGAGUGUCCUUAUAUUCCAAACCAUCACCACGCCCUAGUGAUUUGGGAUUCGAACCCAAGCACUAAAGGGUUGGGACUCGAACCCAACCUCCGUAUAUGCAUCUACAGAUGGCAUUGCAUAGGAUGCCUGGCUUGACUCCCCACGCCGGUGCACCAACAUGUACUUAAAGUGCGUUAUAGAUCACAGCUUAGGAACCUAGUUCCUCCGCACUACCAAGUCCUCUCAUUGACAAAUCUGUGAUCAUGCAUGGACUCCUCCAUGCUCAGCCCCAUGGGCUGCCCCUUUUUGAAGUUAGCACCUUCGACUAGGAAUUUGUUCCCCUGACUUGCCAAUCUCACUUAGUAAGUCAUCCGGCCACCGUAACAUAGUUCAUGCAUAAGCGUGAAAGUCCUUAACCAUCGACUUUCGUUCAAAGCCCUCUCUUUGAACACUCGGGAACUACUUCCCCAACCUCGAUAGCCUCGCCUCAUGGCCAGCUUCAAGAUCACGCUUUUGCUGCACCACUCUGAUUUCGCGCGUUUUAGGAACUAUUUACACUUGGCUUUCUAGGUACUUAUCCACCUAGAAUUUUCUUUGGGAACUUUCAAGGAACUUUGUUCUUUAGCUUGCUAAAACUUUGCCUUCGCAAGCUCCCUACUCACCAUAUGGUCUAACAUGGAUAAUUCCACAUUUUAGACUCUCCAUGGCAUCGCAGUAGCUAGUAGCAACAUCCUUGAGCACCCUCUUGAUUCUCCACUCACAACUUGCAUAACCACUAUUGGUUAUACCCUUCAAUUUCUAUGGUUCAAUUCCAUCCCAUACUACUUGUUUUUUGGCCUCAUAUGUUUCAUAUGUUUCCUUUGGUUAUUCUCCUCCGAACUAGGAGGAUAGCUUUGCACAUUUUACCAUGCCUUGUCAAGUAUUCAUAGGGAUGAACCUACCUGAUAGCUUAGGGAGUGGUUCCUUAAUUUGGGCAUGCUCACCUUAUAAUCCCACACACCGGGAUUACCGUUGCUACUUAUGGGCCUCCAUAUGCCCAUUACAAGCCUUUGCCAAAAUCCCAUUUUUGGCUUUGUCCAAAUCGGGUAGAUGGAUUCCUCCCAUCUCCACAACCUUGGAUGUUUGAAUGGCAUCUUCUAUCCAUCAUUUGCUAGGGACUCAGUCCCUUGGGCCUUAUCUAUUGCCCUCACGACACUAACCACCACCUCUUGGUGUUUUAGAGUGUUUGGGUGUCCCAAUGAUGGCCUCUUUGACAAUGAGCAUUUCCUUUUACAACAUUGAUUUACUAUAUUGCAACAUAAGCAAAUUAUCCCUGAUAUGGGUAUAUUUAACUUCUUUAUGCCAUUAAGAAGUCUUGGGUAACUACCUUCUACUUGUUUAACCAAUUACCUGCACCUCUUGCUUAAUUGCCCUAUAGUUGUUAAGUCUUACAACUCAUUGCUUGGUGUUUCCACACCUCCAUCAUUAUCUGGGUCACCACACUCUAACCACAUGCCUUCCAGCAUAGGCUAUGCCAUUCCCAUUUCCAUUGGGAUUCCUUUGGCAAGGGGUUCUCAUGAACCCAUCAACAUAACCUUAAGGCAUCACACCUUGGCCCAUUUGGUGUUUCCACACCAUCGGCUCCAUGCGUCUGCCUUUAUGACACUUCGCACUUGUGUCUAGGUCUUUGCCAAGACCAAUUCAGUCGUUUCUUAUGCCAACUAUCCGUUAGCACUACAUCAUAGUGUUCGCACACAACUCUACACCAAAGUUGCUUUUUCUAGGAACACCUUUCCCACAACUUUAGCAUGGCACAUUUUGCCAUCGAUGAGAUACCCUCUGUUCUCAUCCUUGGAUCCUAUGAUCCCCCUCCAUCAUUCGUAGGGUACAACACACCUCAGUCCAAAUGCUUUCAUCAAUCCUUCAAGAUUAUUCCUUGACUCUAUUUGAGUCCUUCAACUUUUUGGACUUUGUCAUUCGACGACCCAUGAGGUCCCACCUUUGAGGUGCCAGCUCACUGGAAUACAACUUCUUGUAUUCAAGUCCUACUCACAAGGACCAUUUUUGCAAGUGUUACUCCGACAUUUGAUUUGUUCUCUUGGGCAACCUUUUGCCCCUUAAAACCACUUGUCCAUGUGAUGAGAAUACCAACUCAUCCUCUAAGUACACCCCCAACUCCUUGGGUUGUUCCACUAUUUAUUAAAGGUAGCCCUGGGUACCAUUUCAAGGACUUGUGUCCUCUUCCAUAUUUGACCUUCUACGGUCAUUAAUUCCGGUUUUAAAUUCAUGAGCACCAGCCUCAACUAUAUGAGGGUAAUCUUGUGACUCCAUUAUCGUCUUGGAGUUUGCAUCUUUCCCGUGAUCCCAACUAUAGUUGUUUACUACAACUACAUUAGCCCGUUUGCUGCGUCAAACGCUCAUCUAGAUCACAUCCUCAACUCUCUGAGGAAACCCUCAUUCUAUUCCCAAGAUCCCAAAGUUGUUCCCUUACUGACCCUUUUCCAUCCACCACAUCAUGCACAAGUUCACGCAUGAACUUGAGUGGAGAGCCAUGUCCUCUCGACAUGCUACUCCUUGAGGAUAGGUCCAUACCUAGGACUUUCCAAUUCCAAUACAAGUGGUGAUAUACUUGGCCACCAAUAAGAGUCGAUCUAAGGAACAGCUCCGAUACCAAACUGUAAGCGACUACAUUUUUCCAUUCUACUUUAAUCACUUAACCACACCUCCAACCACUUGAAGGAGUCUCAUUCACAACCUCCAUAAGUCCCACUCAGGACUUGGGGCUUGCUAGCCCGAGAAUGGCAUCCAUGCCACUCAACCUUUGCACUUAGUCCCAGUGCUCCACGUGACCGGUCCCAUGACCGACACCCCAAGGCACCACCAACAUACCAGCCUGUUAUGCUAGGCUAUGCCCAAUCACCUUGGUCACAUUAGUGGUCCCACACCUCCUACAUUGCAAUCCCGUCUCUCCAAGACUGGGCCAUCCGUCCAUGAGUGGUCAUCCCAGAUCCACUCUUUAGCAUCCUUAGGAUGCCCACAGACAUGGGGAAUAGCCUUCCCCAAUAUCUCCUUUCUGGUCCCCACCAAGUCCCUUUCUGUCCUUGGCCGUGUUCGCCAACAUUGCCAUUGGAUCAGGGCCCACAGGCCCGACCACUAAGUCCCACGGUCCUCUGGGACUUCCUCACCGCAUGACUGUAUCCUUGGUCACUACACCAGAGGACUACUCUUCUUCCUUUCCAUAGUCUGGGCCUUUGGGACAACAUUUCGGAACACCAUGGCCCCACGCGGGCUUCAUGGGUACUCUCCCCACCUUCCGCCUUUGGGUGCUCUUUAGAGCGAGGUUCCGUUGAGCCACGCUAGGUAUCCAAGUAGGUAGUGCCACCCACACUUGGACUGGGAGCAUCGGCCAGUCGAUCUCCCGGGGGAACUAGAGCUGGCUCUUGAACAUUUCAACAAGCUACCCCGCUUGUUGGUCUGUGUUCACUCUAGUGUUGGACUUCCCAGUGGGCAGCUUAUCACCCAACAUUAGGUACAGCCUUCCUGGGCCAAACUGGCCUUUCCUGGCCAAACUGGCUCCACUGUAGUCCUCCCCCUUACUAUACUUUUGGAGCUCACCAAACCCCCCAGGGUCUGGGAGACAAACACUUUGGGCCAGCACCCUCUCAGACUCGAACUCGGACUCGGACUCGGACUCAGACUUGGACUCGGACUUGGACUUGGACUCGGACUCGGGCUCGGUCUCGGCCUCGGCCUCAGUCGCGGCCUCGGUCCCGGUCUUGGUCUCGGUCUCGACCUCGGACUCCAUCUCGGGUCCUUCUCGAACUCCAUCUCGGAUUCCAUCUCGGGUCCAUCUCGAACUCCAUCUCAGACUCCGUCUCGGACUCCAUCUUGGGUCCAUCUCGGACUCCAUCUCGGAUUCCAUCUCGGACUCCAUCUCAGACUCCAUCUCGGACUCCAUCUUGGGUCCAUCUCGGACUCCACCUCAAACUCCAACUUGGGUCCAUCUCGGACUCCUUCUCAGACACUUCUACGUGUCAUGUGUUGGUCCUUUUGGAUCCCUUUUUGGAGCCUCGCUUAUUGCUCGCUUCAUGCUCAUUCUUUGAGCACUCCGUUGGGAGUUCCACUCCCGCUCUCAACCUUUCAAGUCGGAGCCUUUUAGUCCAAAUGUGUUACGCUCGUUUGGCUUUUGCUUUGGCCACUACCAUGUGGCACCCUUUCGGCUCCACUGUUGGGGCUUAAGGAUUUGUGUCUCACAGUAAACUCCCACUCCCUCACCAAUCUUAUCUUCUUGGGAUGCAUAUGGCACCUCCAAAUAGAUGCUAAGACAUACUAGAAUAAGGGAAUGAUGCAAAUCAGUGAUCAUAUCAAGACUACCAAACUAUAUAACACUCAUAGCCACUCCUUACAGAAGACAACUCCAACUCCAACCCCUACUCCUAUUGCUACUUCUUCCAAGUCUCCAUGACGUCCAACAUUUCCAGCUAAGCUUGCUAUUGUCUUCCUCAAGCUCCUCAACGAUCCAUCACUGCCAGAAAUGGGGGUAUUCAGCAUCCACACUUUUUCUACAUUCAAUGCUACUACUGAACCAUCCAUGGCCAUUUUCACUAGUGCUAUACAAUCCCCAUCACAAUUAGAACUUGCUUCUUUUCUUAAGGCAUAGGCACUUCCAGUGGUUCGAGAGGUAUUCAAGAGGCUCUUAUCCAGCCAUAUAUCAACUAUAUGCUCUUCUCCUUGCUCCAUUCUGCAGCAUAUGUUCACAAAAGGUGGUUAUCUUUCCCAAGUGCCACCAACAGCAACCAACUCCUUGGCCUCUUUAUUUGAGGACCAAGCUUCUUGGGUCAAUAGCAGCAGCUAAGUUUCUAGUCAAGCUUGGAGCUAGGGAUAAUGUGAAAAUAGCAAGUGAUGAUGUGCCAGAUGGGAGUGACGACAUUUUCUAUCAUUCCAACAGUCAUGGCGAUGACUUUCAGUGAUCAAGAGACUCUAGGAAACUCAAAGACAUCAGCAGCACAAUCUCCUCCAGUCAAAGCACUUGAACACCUUGGAUCUUACAAGUUUUAAAAUGUGGCAUUUUCCCUUGUUAAGGAAAUCCCGACUACUCAAUGUCUUUUAUUUAGACCUGCAUCAUGCUGUUUGCUCUUCUCUACUAACUUUGCCUUUCCAAGACACACUCACAGAUCCAUGUACUUUAUCAUGGAUCCCUACAAGCUCAAUAGACAACACUCUUGCGACUACUCAAUCCACUAUUUCAGCUCCAAGUCUUUUUCCUUGCCAAUAAGGAGCUUCAUAGAAGGAUCUAAGACCCUCACAGCACCAUUUGGAUAUGGUGCAUGCUAGUUAGGGAGCAGAAGGUGGUGCAGCCCUCAAAGGUGGCAAAAGCACUGCUCCAAUCUUUGUUUUUGACUUUGGCCACACUCAAGAGUCUUUGUAUAGCUUCCUUGACACUCAGGGAAGUUUUCUUCAGUCUACAGUAGCUCCAUAUCACCUGGAGUCACUACUCAAUUGCUUCGACAUGGCAUUGUAGAGUUGUAUGGCUUCAAGUUUCAUUACAUUUCAACUUCAAUUCUCAGCAUGAUGUCAUCAAGUAUGGAACUUUCACAGAUACCAUGUUCUCUUUUGUCCCUCUUCUUCUACCUUUGUUUCCAUCAUUUUUAUCCCUUCAUUACUUCUUAUUGUGUUUCCAUCAUGCUCCUUUAUUCCCUCUCUAGAUCCCUCAGAUAGUUUGUGUUGCACAGUGGAUCAACUCAAGGAGUAUAUUGAUAUUUUAGACUUUGACUUGUUAUCUGUGGCUAAUAUUGUAACACGUAAUCCUAUUCCAAUUAAGGAUACUCAUCUAAUCAAUAUUCUUGUUUGGUGUUGGUCACCAAAGGAAAUUAAGAUUUUACAAAUAUUAAAAAAAUGUUAGAAAAGGGUGUUAUUUAAAAAUCUUAAAAUCCUUUAUGAACCUCAUUUUAUGACAAAACUUAAUAAGAGUAUUUACUUUUGCCUAGACUAAUGUUUAUUAAAUGAGAUGACUAUCUUAGAUGUGUACACUCUUCUUCAUAUGAUUAAUCUUCACAUUGGCCUUUUCUAGUUAAACUAAUUCCACUGGAGUCUUCCCUCCUCUAUCCAUAGCCCAAUUUUGUGACCCUUCCAUAGGUACUUUCUAGAGAUUACUUUUCUAAACUUAUUAUACCAUUACAUGGAAAGUCUGCUGAUAUAAAACUGUCCCUUCCAAGCUCUCAGUGUUCUCACUGAGAAAUGGGUCAUGCCAGAUUCCUUCCACUGUGCAUUCUCGCACAGUAUCACAAAGUUGUUGCUGAAUUCCUUGCCAAAGACAGUGGCAGUGGCGUGGAGGAGCUGAUCCCGUUCCUUGCUGGAUUCUGCUCCUAGAGACUAGGCGUGGACUUCUUGGUCAUGGAGCAAAGUUCCAGGAGCAUGGCAUGGUCACUCUGUCCUUUCCUUGUCAGCAUCUAGCCAUACAGAAGCUGGCCAACCAACACGCUUGCAUCCACUGUGAUAAAACCAGCACUGUGAGAAUUGCAGUGGGAUGACAAGUGCAUGGAAACCCAGUGGUUGAGAUGCUCGCAAAUGCUUGCGUCCCAUGAUUUGUGUUCUCUAGCAGCCAUGAGCUCCUGGACAAAAAAACAAGUGAUGAAGUCCAUAGAGAUAUUACACCAACGGCUCUGAGGAAUAAGUAAAGGUUGCAAAAGUCCCCCCGGAUUCUCCUAUAGCACCUUAACCCAUUGACAAAGCUUGCAUGAUUUACAAUACUUGAGGAUAUCAGCCUUCAUAUUCCUCCAAUAAAAGUUGCGCUUAAUCAACUCAUACGUCUUCUUCCCCCCAGUCUAUCACUACCUCAGACUUGGCUGUAGUUUACUUGGAGAAAUUUUUUCUUGAUUUUGGUUUGCUGAAGACAUCAUUAGUGAUCGAGAUUCAAAGUUCACUAGUGGAUUUUGGAAAAACUUUGCAAAGGCUAUGCAAGUGACUUUGAGCGAGACUUUUCGAUUAGAAACAGCACCAUCGUUUUUGUUUGGACGACUUACCUCCAAUAUCUGCCGAAUACCAAAGCUGACGUCCACAGACUUCCACUCUAUCCGCAGGAGCUCAUGGAAAAGAUCGUUGCACCACUUGAUCCACUUCAAACUAAGCGGCACGAGGCUACUAGUGUAAGUGUGUAGAGCAAGAGCAUGAGCUUGUCAUGCUGCCUGCCACCGCCGGCUAUGGCUUGAGCUUUCAAAGCGUCAAGCCACUCGAAGGGCUGCUUGAUGCUUUGGAGCUGAAGCAGCAGCCAGGUGAAAAAGAGGCUACUCACUGGGUCGCUCACGUUGAAUAGAGAAGCGGCGUCUAUAAGGCACGUAGAUGUGGGGGUGGAGGGAAUCCAUUUUGCGAUGCUCACAACAUCUGAAAAGAGUGAAAAAAAAAAGAGUUAAUCUUGAAAGCUAGCACAGGAGAAAGGGAAGAAAUGCAUACUUCCAACUUCUGAUGCCAUUACUUUACUGGCUUUGAAAGUCAAUUGAUCGAGCUGCAAGGGAGAGUUAGAAUCUGCUUCCAGGAAAAGGAAAAAAUAGAAAGGAGAAAAGCUCACCUCGGCAAGCCUAGUUACAGUGGAGGAGCAAAGAAGGGUGGAGAAGAGCAAUCGCGAUUCUGGGCGCGAUUGCUGCUGCCAACUACAAUCUUGUUGCUGGCGCCUGAAGUAGUCAGUGGCAAUGACAAGAAGGCGUCUGGCACAGGAGUGCUAAGAACACGAGCAAUGGCCACGCUCCAGUGGAACCUUCCACUUGAGCUCAGACACAGUACAAGAGACUGUCCUGUCGGGCAUGACAUCGAAAACCACGCCCUCGCCAGGUGAUCCAUCUCGAGCCCAAACCGAUCGAACGCUUAGCAAUGACGUGAGGUUUUCUGAUGGUGACAUGAGCUAUUGCUAGUGUAACGAUGAUAAACAGAGUCCAUGGCGGGAGUUUGUGUUUGCAAUGAGUUAUGCUGCCAGUCAUGCUCCAGGCCGCCUCUUACUGUCUCAAACUCUCUUCGAAUCUUUACUCUUUCUAAGUCCUGCAGCAUUGAGAUGCUUUGGCUGGAUGGUCGGUAUGCUCUAGAUAACACUUUAUUCUUAGAGCUUCAUGAUGCGAAUUCAGUGAGCGUUUGCAUGAUGUUAAACUUUCUUUGUAGAUACUGUCUAUCAUUUGUGCAUUCAAGGUUGAUUCAGGAAUCACUAGUGGAAUGAUACUGUUUUUCUCAAUAAUUUUUGGACUGACUGACUGGCCUUUUGUGCGGGCUUGAUCAGGCUUGGACAACAUCAACUCAAAGUGCAAGUAUACUUCAGAUUGUUUAGUUCUCCUUGGCUUGCGAGUAAAGUUACACAAAUUUUUUGAUAUAUCCCAACACGCUCAGCCUGGAGUGGCAGGUGACCAUGCAGUAGUGAGAGAUGUGAUUUGGUGACGAUUGCGAGAGACGUGAUUUAGUGAGGAUCAGAGAAUGGAGAUCACUUCUAAGUACCUUGUGAUUUUUCUAUCUAGAAGUCAGAUAUUGACAAAGGGGGUAGUUAUGAUAGCUUUGAUAUAACUGAGAUUCUAUUUAAAAUGGAUUUAGCUGAACCUUUAAAAAUGCCAUUGUGAGGGCAAAGUGUACGGCUAUGAUGCCGUAUAUUAAUAUUAGCAUAGUGGGAUUUUGGUAGCCAUCGGAUUGGUUUCAAUCUGGACCAAGCUAGGGUUUUUGGGCUAAUUGAUAUACACAUUUCUGUAUUCCCUUUCCAUAUUCCAUGCACUCGCAUUGGUGGAGUUGAGGGGCACCUUUGAUUGUCCCUGGGGAGUGCUUGGAUUUGGGAUUUCGGUUUAGAUCUAGCUUUUGCAUUGUCUAGGUCUAGCCUUUUCCAUUUCCUUUCUUUUGUUCUUUCCUUUCAGGAUUUUGGUUUAAAUCUAACUUUUUGCAUUGUCUAGAUCUACCAUUUCUUUCCAGCUUUUUCUCAUUUCUCUUCUUUUGCUCUUUCUUUUGCGUUCAUCUUCAUGGCCGAUCCGCAAUCUCCUCCUUUGACUCUAGAGCAGCAGUUGGUUCAAUUGCUUGAUGCUAUGCGCUUGCAAUUGAACAACCAAACUCAGUUGAUGGCGGCGUUCACGGAACAUGGUACAACUCCUCUUGCUCUUGGUGCUAAUCCUCGCGUUCGGCCGGAGUUCUUUCAUGGGAAUCCUGGGGAUGAUGUGUACCAUUGGUUCGAUCACUUCACGGUAAUUGCCACAUAUCAUUCUUGGGAUGAUGCUCGACGUUUGCAUGAGUUCCCCACAUGUCUCUAAGAGACGGCAUUGUAGUGGUACAAUGGAUUGAGCGCAGCCACUCGUGGCAAUUGGAAUGUUCUUCCGGACAUCUUCAAAUGCGCCUUCGGACACACCGACGAUUGUGAUGAUGCCUUCCAACAAUUGCAUCGUUUUCACCAAAGGCCAUCUGAGUCGGUGAUGCAAUUUGGCGUUCGUUUCCAAAGUCUUUUGCUUCGUGCGGAGCCAAAUAUGUUGGAGCAGAUCAAGCUAAGAAUGUUGUGGCCAGCACUUCAUCAAGAUCUUGUCAGACUUGUGCAUGCACUUGCUCCUGCCACUCUUGAUGAUGCUUUUCGCUUGGCACUACGUUAUGAGACAUUGCCUCUUCCACUUCUCACUACACGUCCUUCAGCUCCACUUCCUAUGAGUGAUGGUCCUGUUCCCAUAGAGGUUGAUGCUGCUACUACUCGAGUCCAAGGACAAGGGCGAGGACGUGGUCAUGGCCGUGAUGUUCGUUGCUGGGCAUGUGAUGAAGUUGGUCAUACUUAUCGGCGUUGUCGACGCUUUCUGGAUUGGCGACCUCCAUUUCCUGGGUGGAGACCUUGGCAUCAGCAACGUCCCGUUGGUGCUGCUGCGGUGGAAGGUUUGGAUACCGAGGUGCAUCCAGGAAACGAGGAGUCCUACGAGUAAUUGAGGGACCUUGCGCGAAUAAGUUAGUGACCCCUCCAUCUUUCUUUCGGGAGUAUCAUCAAGGGGUUCACUCGACACCGGUUCAUCCAGUGUUUACUUUCCAAGCUCGUUUUUAUAACAAGAGGUCUCCUAUUCUUCUCUCCGUGUUGGUUGAUACAGGUUCGAGUUUAUCUUCUAUUGCUCGACCUGUUGCCACACGUUGUUGUCUACACUUGCGUCGUGUGGCGGAUCCAGUUUUUAUUCUUUAUGGCAACGGCCGUACACAUGCCUAUGCACGAGAUGAGGCGGACCUGGUUGUGCGUGUGGGCGAUCUCGAGCUUGAGUUGCAGUCGUUGUGGGUGGUGCCGAGCCAAGCUUUUGACCUCAUUCUUGGUAUGGAUUGGUUACAACGCAAUCAUGCCAAGUGUGACUUUGAGGCUUUUCCCCUUUGUCUCAUACUUCCUUAUGUUUCAUCCAUUCCUCUCACUUCUGUACUUCUUCGUCCCUCUACUUCUACCUCUACUUCCAUUACUUUUGUUCCCCCACUAUUUCCUCUUGUGUUUCCAUCUUGUUCUACUCUUCCCUUUUCCGAUCCCUCUAAUGAUCUUUGUGUUGCAGCUAUUGACCAGCUCAUGAAGGAGUAUUUUGAUCUCUUUGAAUUUGACCUAUUGUCUGGGGAGAAGAUUGCCACACAUCAUCCCAUUCCAACCGAGGAUGCUCAUCUAAUCAAGGUUCCUGUUCGUCAUCGGUCACCCAAGGAGAUUAAGAUUUUACCUGCAAACAUCAAGGAGAUGUUGGAGAAGGGUGUUAUUCGGAAGUCGCGGAGUCCUUGGGCAUGUGAACUUCAUCUUGUGAUGAAGCCUAAUAGGAGUAUUCAUUUCUGCAUCGACUAUCGUCCGUUAAAUGAAGUGACAAUCCCGGAUGUGUACCCUCUUCCUCACACUGCUGAUCUCUUGGAUCGUCUGGGGCAAAGUCGUUGGUUCACCAAGCUAGAUCUUGCUUCUGGGUACUGGCAAGUACCAAUGGCCGAUGAAGAUAUUCCUAAGACUGCUUUUCGUACACCGUUUGGUUUGUACGAGUUCUUGGUGAUGCCGUUUGGUUUGAACAAUGCUCCAGCAACUUUUUAGUGGAUGAUGGACGAGGUUCUUUGUGAUAUGCCAGAGGUGACUGCUGACUUCAUUGAUGAUGUCUUGAUUCACUCGGAGGGGACGUGGGCAGAGCACGUUUGUGAUGUGUGUAAAGUGUUGGAUCGAUACGAGAUGUUGGUUUAAAGCUGAAGCGGUCGAAGUGCGUGUUUGGGUCCAAGGACACAACUUAUCUUGGGUACCGUAUUUCUCAUGAGGGUUUGCAAGUUGAUCUUGACAAACUCGUAGCCGUUCUAAAGUUCCCUACUCCGAAGUGUGUGAAUGAUGUGCAGCGCUUCCUGGGCAAGGUGCAGUAUCUCAGUCGUUUUGUGGAUCAUCUUUCUGAUCGCACUGCACCGUUGCGAACGUUGCUGAAAUCAUCAACGUCAUCUUUCAUCUGGUCUUCAGAUUGUGAGCGGGCGUUUGUGGAUCUCAAAGAGCUAUUGAUGACUCCUCCGGUUUUGGCAUAUCCUGACUACACUCGACCUUUUAUUUUGCACGUGAUGCUUCUGAUAUUGGUCUUGGAGGUGUGUUAAUGCAAGAGAGCCAGAGUGUGCCUAGUCAGCGUCAUCCCAUUGCAUAUAUAAGCCGUACGUUACAACCAGCAGAAGUGAACUACUCCACAACAGAGAAGGAGCAUUUAGCGGCAGUUUGGGGUUUUGAGAAACUUCAUGCAUAUCUACAUGGUUCUCGGACGUUACUUGAAGGUGACCAUGCUGCCGUUAUUUCAUUAUUGAAGCGGAAGAACUUGGUUGGUCGUAUUGCUCGAUGGGCUUUAAAGCUUCAGAUAUAUAAUUUUGAUGUUGUUCAUUGCCCAGGGAGUUUUAUGGCUGAUGCUGAUGCCCUUUCUCAAGCUCCUCUUCCUUCUCCACUUUCUUUUCAUAUUUCUGAUGAGCCUAUUGUUCCAGCAUCUGUGGAUUUUCUAGACGAGGAUUCCGUGCCAUCGGUGGUUGCUGUACUUGAUGUUCAGUGUCCACAAGGCAUAGAGCAAGAUUUACCUUCUCUUGAUGAGGUUCGCGAGGCUCAAAAGAUUGAGCCGUGGAUUCGAAGGCUUCGAGAUGCGUUUGAGGAUCCUGCAUCACUUGCUGAUGACUUGCCUUUCUGGCAUUUACAUUCUCAAUAUCGUCUUGAAGAUGGCCUUCUUUAUUUUGUUGGGAUGGAUCCUGAUGAUCAUUUAUGAUUGGUGGUGCCUUCUAUCUUUAUUCCACGGUUUCUCCAUGCCUACCAUGAUUCUCCUGUUCUAGGUGGGCAUAUGGGACAUCGUCAUGUGACCGAGAAGCUGUGCAGGUCUUUCUAUUAGCUAGAGAUGCAACGUGAUGUUAUCCGGUAUGUGCGUAGCUGCGUUUGGUGCCAAGCUCGUAAUACUCCCCCUUGUGCUGCGGAAGGACGGUUGGAGUCAAUUGCAAUUUCCCGUCCGUUUGAGUUGGUGGCGUUUGAUCUUAUGGGACCUUUUCCACGGUCAACUGCUGGCAAUGAGUAUGUUAUUAUUGCUUCUGACUACUUAACUCGUUGGGUGGAAGUUGGUGCUCUUGCUAGCGCCUCUGCAACUGUUGUUGGAUACUUUCUCCUCAAUCGAGUGGUGUUCCAACAUUCUUGUCCAGAGCGGAUUCUUUCGGAUAAUGGUCUUGCAUUUAUGGCUAAGGUAUUUCAUGUUUUGACAUCUCGGUUGGGGAUACGCCACACAUUUACGAGUGCUUAUCAUCCACAAUUAGACGGUCUGGUGGAACGGCUCAUUCGGACAUUCAAAGGGAUGAUUGCAAAAUAUGUGAACUUUCAGCAUUCGGAUUGGGAUGGUUAUUUGCCGUCUCUUCGGUAUGCCUAUGUCACAGAGGUGCAGAGUUCUGUUGGUGUUUCACCAUAUAAACUCUUAUAUGGUCAUGAUCCAAUAUUACCAAUAGAGUUGGGUUUACUUUUGCGAUUGCCACGAGCUCCUGAUGCUAGGUCAUGGGAUCAAUAUUUGACGAGCAUUCUUCCACUUGUCCGAGCAGAGUCUGCCGAACACUUAGGCCGCGUACAAGUGGGACAACAACAGCGCUACAGCUCCCAUCAUCGUCCACCUGCAAAGUACAAAGUGGAUGAUUUGGUGUUAGUCCGUUUUCCCCAUCUUACGGUACGUGGUUUAUUUAAGGGGCUCCUUGCGUAGUGGAAAGGACCAUAUCGGGUAUUGUGGCAAGUUGGACCGCAAGUUUAUGAGGUUCGGCAUGACAUCCAGCAGGCCGAUCCUCCGGAGAUUGUGCAUGUGCAGUAGUUAAAACGCUUCAUACAAAGGGAUCAGGAGCAAUUAAUGCCAUCUACAGAUCCGCCAAUGCCUCAUCCUGACGUUCCUCCAGAUCCCGGCCCAUCUACAAGAGAAUCCUGAUAGCCUUCCAUUAUUCCGAGAGGAGGGGAUGAUGUGAGGGCCAAGUGUACGGCUACGAUACCGUAUACUAAUAUUAGCGUAGUGGGAUUUUGGUAGCCGUUGGAUUAGUUUCAAUCCGGACCACUCGCUCCUGUAUAUAAGCUAGGGUUUUUGGGCUAAUUGAUAUGCACAUUUCUGUAUUCCCUUUCCAUAUUCCAUGCACUCGCACCAUGUUAUUAUUAUAAUUGUUGCCAACUCAGCUAAAUUCAUUUUGUCUUUUUAAGUAAUAAUUACUAUUUCUAUACAUGGUACUAUUUUAUUAAUUUGUUCUACCAGGUUCCAGGCAUCGGGAGAAAUUUUCAGGGAUGCCAUAUCCCCCCUUUCCCCUAAUUCCACUGCCACCCCACCCUUAGGUUUAUUUUUGAGAUGGUAUGUGGUGUUUAAUAUAGGUAUCCAUGUCAAAGGCAUACUUGAAAACUAACUCAUGAUUUCCAUGCAUCCCCUUAAUUUAUGAAACCUUUGUCAUUAAUUUUCUUCUUCUUCUUUUUACUAAUUUUUCUAUUGUGGUAACAUAAGCUUAGCAACAGUAAAAGUUCAAGCAUUAGGAGUUCAUUUCUCAUCUGUUCUAAAAACUUUAUGGCAAACUUUUUAUCUCUAUUAUCAAAUUUUUUUUUUCUCUCUGAAUUCAUAAUAGCAACGCACAUUUAAAUGUGCAAUUAUGUUUUGAAUUGCAUGGACCUUUGUUCAAAAAUUCAAAUUAAACAUAUAAAAAAUUCAAUUAAAAAUUAUGGAUUAUCAAAAUAAAAUUCAUGAAACUUUAUUUUUCAAGAUUGGAAAAUUCAAUUUAGAAUUGCAUGAUGAAAAUUUUGCUAAAAUUAUUUAUAAAAUAUUGCAUGUAUUAAUCAAGCUCAACACCAGAGCGUAGGGUCAUGCACCCUAAGCUCAGAGUCUGGGAACCUAGACCUGGUAGACACAUGCUCUUCGUAUUCACCACAUACCAAAAUACCAAAAUGAGGAAAUGAAUUGGAUCAUUGGAUUAGCCAAUUAAGCACUUGGCAUUGACCACUUGGACAUCCAAGGCUUCUAUUAGAGCCUCUUGAUCCAUAUGCAAACUGAGCAACUUGAUGCAUGCUCUUUGUGUUCACCACAUACCAAAAUACCAAAAUGAGGAAAUGAAUUGGAUCAUUGGAUUUGCCAAUUAAGCACUUGGCAUUGAGGACAUCUAUUAGAGCCUCUUGAUCCAUAUGCAAACUGAACAACUUGGUAAAAGAGAGGAGAGAUUAAAAAAAAGUCACUACCUAAGUGUUCCAUGAGCUCCAUGAGUAGGAUGUUUGGAUCAUUGGCUAUGAUCUAAACAAACUAAUUAGUCUUGCAAGCAAAAAAAAGAAGACAAAAAAAAAAACUCAUAGAAUCAGUGCUCUAUGGUUUGCUUGUGAUCUCAAAAAACCAGUUAGUCUUGCAAAAAAAAAAAGACAAAAAAAAAACUAGUCUAGACAUCCAAAAGCUCUUCAACAUGUCAAUCAAGCUUGUCACCAUAAAAUCAUCCUCACUCCUCAUCAUCAACCCUGGAUCAAUCACAUUGCCACACACUUAAUUGCAGGGACAAAACUAUGAAUUUCUAGAGUGAUCUCCCAUUAUCCACAUAACUCAGCAUCAAGAAAUGAUGCUGUGCCAGGGCAUGCGAUUGAUGGAAGAGGAGGGUGCCUCUCUAUGUGACUAGGGUUUGUGCAUAAAAAGUUUGUUUAAGAUAUUCAAUUCAAUUCCAAUUCAAAUGUUUAUAAACACUAGGAAAUCUUACCCAUUGAUUACUUGAGAAGAUUUAAUCUCAACCAUAAAAGAGAACAUUCUUAGAAUAUGCUCAAACAGCUGAAUCCUUGCAACAUUCGAUCAUUACACGCUUACUGUUUAUCUACUAUUCAAGUCAAUCUGCCCUAAUGCAAAUCAUAAUUUCUGUGUUUCUAUACUGGAGUACACAAGACAAGAAGCACGAAGAUUUGUGUUACAGCCCACGCAUAGAUUCCAGUCACAGGUGAAUGGAAGAAUGUUUAGAUCCACUUAUGCGAAAUUCUAUUUAUCUCUCUAUUAUGCUACUUUGAUAGUCUUGAUGUGCAGCAACUUUCCUCUUGUGCACUGACCCAGACAAUGGCAUCACAAACUAGAACACCAAACAAGCCUUUGACACGCUAAAGUUCCACUGUUAGCUCUUUAUACAAGUCAAGCUGACCUCCCACAAGACAUUUGGGAGAUGCUGCCCCUUGAUUCAGUUGGGCGCGCAAACAUUUUGUAUUGAUUUUCAAAUUUUGGGGUAUCACCAUUUAUUCUUUUAAUUGGCUUCACCACCAAACACGAAGAAUUGUUGCACAAGGAAUCAGAGAAAUCGAAUCCAUCACAUUGUUGAUCUAUGAUAAGAAAAAGAUAACAUUGAUUAGUGGCUAAUCGAUUUUAUUGCCUUUCACUUGACGGGAGCAAGACGUUCGCGGGGGUAGGUUGGUCGGUCAUGAAAUUGACGACUUCUUUGCGUGGGGUAAAAACUAAAUGCUCAAAAGUCCUUUUUACAGUAAUUCUUACGGCCGGCCGUACUUCGGCCUGCCAUUGGUUACCGCUUAAUGGCUUCCGAAUACAGCCGACUUUUGCUAUUGCGUGGUCAAAUCUUGCUGGCCUGUUGAUGGAAGCAGGGGACUACGAAAGAGCUCUUGCUUAUUAUCAGGUUGGAAAACGCAAAGUUUAUGUUUUCUGAAUUUUUAUCCAUGCAGGAGGCUAUUCGAUUAAAGCCAAACUUUGCGAACGCUCAUUUGAAUCUUGGGAACGCCUUGAAAGUAAGUUAUGUGGCAUGUUCCUAGUAAGCGAUCUAAAGAUUGUGGUUUUUUAGAAUCUUGGUAAAGCUCAGGAGUCCUACUUGCGAGCCAUUCAACUCCGGCCAGACUAUGCAAUUGCGUACGGUACGCGCUACUUUCCAAGCUUUCUGAAUGCGUCCUGGUCGAGCUUGAGUGUGGAGUCAGACUGUGAUCCCUGGCAAUAGUGGUCUAACUGGCUGCGUUACCUUGUUUUUUAUUUUUUACAUGUGUGUUGAUCAUGGGGCCAUCCUGGAAGCGUUUAAAGGGCUUCCUUGAAGACAUUGUGUUUGACCGAAUUCCUAAAUGCUAGGCGGUNNNNNNNNNNNNNNNNNNNNNNNNNNNNNNNNNNNNNNNNNNNNNNNNNNNNNNNNNNNNNNNNNNNNNNNNNNNNNNNNNNNNNNNNNNNNNNNNNNNNNNNNNNNNNNNNNNNNNNNNNNNNNNNNNNNNNNNNNNNNNNNNNNNNNNNNNNNNNNNNNNNNNNNNNNNNNNNNNNNNNNNNNNNNNNNNNNNNNNNNNNNNNNNNNNNNNNNNNNNNNNNNNNNNNNNNNNNNNNNNNNNNNNNNNNNNNNNNNNNNNNNNNNNNNNNNNNNNNNNNNNNNNNNNNNNNNNNNNNNNNNNNNNNNNNNNNNNNNNNNNNNNNNNNNNNNNNNNNNNNNNNNNNNNNNNNNNNNNNNNNNNNNNNNNNNNNNNNNNNNNNNNNNNNNNNNNNNNNNNNNNNNNNNNNNNNNNNNNNNNNNNNNNNNNNNNNNNNNNNNNNNNNNNNNNNNNNNNNNNNNNNNNNNNNNNNNNNNNNNNNNNNNNNNNNNNNNNNNNNNNNNNNNNNNNNNNNNNNNNNNNNNNNNNNNNNNNNNNNNNNNNNNNNNNNNNNNNNNNNNNNNNNNNNNNNNNNNNNNNNNNNNNNNNNNNNNNNNNNNNNNNNNNNNNNNNNNNNNNNNNNNNNNNNNNNNNNNNNNNNNNNNNNNNNNNNNNNNNNNNNNNNNNNNNNNNNNNNNNNNNNNNNNNNNNNNNNNNNNNNNNNNNNNNNNNNNNNNNNNNNNNNNNNNNNNNNNNNNNNNNNNNNNNNNNNNNNNNNNNNNNNNNNNNNNNNNNNNNNNNNNNNNNNNNNNNNNNNNNNNNNNNNNNNNNNNNNNNNNNNNNNNNNNNNNNNNNNNNNNNNNNNNNNNNNNNNNNNNNNNNNNNNNNNNNNNNNNNNNNNNNNNNNNNNNNNNNNNNNNNNNNNNNNNNNNNNNNNNNNNNNNNNNNNNNNNNNNNNNNNNNNNNNNNNNNNNNNNNNNNNNNNNNNNNNNNNNNNNNNNNNNNNNNNNNNNNNNNNNNNNNNNNNNNNNNNNNNNNNNNNNNNNNNNNNNNNNNNNNNNNNNNNNNNNNNNNNNNNNNNNNNNNNNNNNNNNNNNNNNNNNNNNNNNNNNNNNNNNNNNNNNNNNNNNNNNNNNNNNNNNNNNNNNNNNNNNNNNNNNNNNNNNNNNNNNNNNNNNNNNNNNNNNNNNNNNNNNNNNNNNNNNNNNNNNNNNNNNNNNNNNNNNNNNNNNNNNNNNNNNNNNNNNNNNNNNNNNNNNNNNNNNNNNNNNNNGCUACCUGGUCGCAGACUCGUCUGGGACAAGGCAACUGGGCUUGUGAAGCAGGCCGGGUCCCAACUUGCUCACACAACUGAUGGUAUUGUGUUUGAUGGUGCAACAUACAUUUUCAUGGGCACCACGCCCUCUCUCUCUGGGCAGACUGAUUUUGCUGUUCAUGCUUGGGUGAAGGUCCCACCCCGCAUGAAGCAGGAACUGUGCAUCAUCCAGCAACGCUCUGAUCAAAUCUAUGGUGAGUGGUGGCUAUGGAUCCUCAAUGGCAAUCUAUGGUUUACGGUGUACAAUGGUGAAUACCAGUUCAGCAUUAAGGGAACAGUGCCAGUCACUGAUGGAACUUGGCACCAUGUUGCUGCAGUCCGAAAUGGCACUGUUGGGUCUAUCUACGUUGAUUCUAAACUUGAUAAGUCACAGAACGGCUCCAAGAUAGUCAACCUCAAUUCCAACCUACCUGUCUUCAUUGGCUAUGACCCCCGUGACAACAAACGCUACUUUCAUGGUGAACUCUCAGAUCUUCAGUGCUGCUGUUGUGCCUGUGGGCUUCAACCCAAUGUCUAUCUAUGGAAUCAUGUAAGCUUAUGCUCCUCUGACAUCGAUUCACAUACGUAAAUAAAGAGGAGCUGGUUUGUUAUAUUCUAUGAAGUAUGGCGUGCUUCUUAUGAAUUGAAUGUAGAAUAUUCAUUUGUCUAGUGUCCAUAGUUCCACAAUCCAACAAAGAUGUAUGGACAGAGUGGCAGCAUUCAACAUGCGUGGCAGUGCUUCGCCAGAAUUCAGCAGCUGAGUGUUGUUUCAGGGAAUGGCAUGCUCGUACCGCUUGCUUGGGAAUUUGCAGCCUGGACAACAGUAUAUCGAUCUACUCGCUGAAUAGGUACUUUGAGGGGCGUUUUAGACUCCAUAUAGAACAGUUUCAGAAGAUGCAUGUGAGAAAUGUGUAUCUUGGAAUGCCAUCAUCUGACAGAGCGACAUUUUCAUGGCUAAGGUGGUCUUAAAUUUUAAUUCUUGUAUUUGUUGUUUGAAAAUAAAUUUUUGUUAUAUCAUGUCAAUACUGAAUUUAAACCUCUGGUCACUCUUGGACCUUAUUACCCUUGGAGGGCCUCCGCGCUAACAUUGUAUCGAUAUAAUUUUUCAAGUUUAUGUACUAAGCAGCUUUAUUUUAUUCUAAAAAUGAAAAAUAAAAUAAAAAACAGAGAAAAAAAACUUUAUCAUCUCUUGCUGGGUUGCUUGUUGUCGUUGUUGAUCUGGAGGAGGUUCUGGUCCAUGGAUUUUGGUAGCAAUGAUAUUGAGAGGUGACAGUGUUUGAUGCAAGAGAUUCAUAAUGUUCUUACCAGACUUUGCCUAUAUUGUCGCCCCCACCAGUACUGCUCAAACAAUUCUUGCUCAGUGUGCUGAUACGCCAAGGAUCUGCAGAGGAGAAAACGGGUCAAAAGCAGUGAUGAACUAGUCAAAUCGUUUGUUCUCACGCACCUGUUGAAGCACCAAUUUGAUCUGAUCUUCUUUGUAGACCAAAAAAAUCCUGAUAAAACCGGCACAUCCCCUGAUUUGUCUUGCACAUUGAUUUAAACUUGCAUUUUCUAACAAGACAAUGAGAAUCCAACAUAAGGAAGGUUGGAAUGCUCCAGAUUGCAUGUUCUGGAACGGGUUGCAGAUCAGAAGUGAGGACAUUCCAGAAAUUCAUGAUGGAACUGUCUCUGCUACCCUUGCCCUCGGCAGCGGCUUCAUGGAUGAGAAAUACAGACACGUUCUACUGGAACUAGUUAGAAAAUUUCAAUCGCAUGCCCUUUGCAGAAACGAAAUAAUCUUGAAAACUGUAAGAAUUUCCUUAAAGCAAAAUUUUAUACUUGACCACAUGGUAAAAUCCUUUCCUUUUAAUUUGUAUUCUCCUAAUCUAUGGGCUCUAGAGCUAUAUUUCCAGUAUGAUAGAGUUUUUGCCAAAUGGCCGUGCAGGAUUGUGUUGAGAUUUCUCGAGGUGGACCACAUGCUCACACUCUCUCUCUCUCUCUCUCUCUCUUAAAUGGGGAAAUANNNNNNNNNNNNNNNNNNNNNNNNNNNNNNNNNNNNNNNNNNNNNNNNNNNNNNNNNNNNNNNNNNNNNNNNNNNNNNNNNNNNNNNNNNNNNNNNNNNNNNNNNNNNNNNNNNNNNNNGACCACUUUACUUUUGUAUAUAAACUAGGGUUUUUGGGUUACAUUCUCUUUUCCUCACAAACAUAGUUUUUAAAAUUUUAUUUCCCCAUUUAUAAUUAUGUUUUACAUUAAUGUGUUAUUGAAGUAAACUCCAUUUAGACAUAGGAAGCCCAAAUUGCUUUUACAUGAUCCAUUCCAUCAAAAGGCGUGUACUUGUAGAUCACAAAGUUGCCAUCGUCCUGAAGGGAUGCUGCAUAGCUUGCUGUAGCAUCGUCAGCAAUUUCUGACUCCCAUGCUGGAUUCUCAUUCUCUCGCUCGUACACAGCUAAGACACCAUUCUUGUGAAGGACGGCAUAACAGUUGCUGCCUUUGCCCUGAGAAUCGCUUGCCCAUCUAGCCACAUUCUGGCCAUCAUAGAGGACAAGGUUGCAAUCAUUCUGCAUGACCAGCGUGUAGCAUGCAUUUGCUGACCUGAGAUAGUGAUUGGUGUAUAUGUACGUCCCAUCCUCGUACUUGUCCGUAUAAUCGACCUUGCUGAACAGCGUAUUCAAUUUGGGAUCACAGUCCCCUUGCACAUUAGGUCUGGCAAGUUCAGGUGCAAGCACUCCUGGCUGUGCAGCAGCACGGGCACCAGUACUGGUAUCACCAGUUUCCUGACACCGAAUCUGCAAGAUGUGCUCGGUACCUACAAUGCUAGCAAAUCCACCUCUGAUGGCUUGUUCCCCCAAGUGUAGCAGGAGCUCCACAGCAUACUUAUUCAGCCGCUUCCAUGGUACCAAGUUUGACCACUGUGGGUCAGAUGAACACGACUCUUGGUUCAACAACCAAGCCUCAACCCAGACACUUCUUCCCUCGACAUUGAUAAUUUUAUCUACAAGUAUUUGGCCAGCAUAGUAAGCGUCCCGAGAAGGAACAAUUCGUAAGAAAUUCACGACUUCAUUCAUGAGCACACCGGCCCCUUGCUGAGUUAGUCUACCAGGUGACCCUGUAGGGUUUAUCGACACCCCAUGAGAAACAACCAAACACAGGCAAAGCAUGGAUGCCACAAGAAGGAGAGACAUGGUUUCUCUAUUAUGGAAAUGCAUGCUCACAGAAUUUGCUGACAGACUUUCACAACACGAAUGCAUCAUACACUUCCUAUUUAUAUGGAAGAGGAGGUGGAGGACAAACAUGGAUGACAAUAUUUUGCUUUGCUGCAAUGCCGUGGCAAAAAUGGUCGUCAUAACAUGGUUAUUCAUAGUACGCAAGUGCACGUGCCUUUGCCUUGUAGCUGUUCUUUACCUUGUAGCUCUGAAUUGAGGUGUCGAGGUGUUUACCUUGUCCAUGAGCCCCACAGAGUCGACCAGAGGGACAAAGAACAGCCUGAACACCUCUGGCAGUGGAAUUCCAACGAACACAAACAUUACAAGACAAAAACAUGUGUAUUAUAUAGUAAUAUUAUUAUUUUAUUAUAUUAUUUCUUACUUUAUGUUUCCUUUUCUUUUUUGCUUUUCUAUCCGACAGUACCCUUGGCGAUUUUGUGUCUAUCAUGGUCCGACUCCAGUUCAAAUCAGGGGGAUUUGUGAGAGAUUCGUCUGGGAAAGCGCAUGCUGCAACUUGUGCAAACGAUCGGAACCACUAGUUGUGCCACUGGAUGAGAGAGGAGCAAAGUAGGGUGAGGAAGUGGAGAGCGCUCUGAAAGGAAGUUGAUGAUCUGAUCCACAUUCAAAUAGGUCGCAGCAAUUACAAAGAAUUUGUUUGGAUUGUGACAAUGGUUGAUUCUGAUCUUUGCACUGCCUUUCAUGGGAGUUGUCUUCUGAAUAGACAACUUCAAUAGCUUGUGAGGUGCACUUGCAGUGUGUCAAUUUUUAUGAAAAUCGCCAGGAUUCUGCUAGGCUGGUGCACAAACAAGAGCUGUGAACCCCAUUCCUUCAUACAAGCAGUUGCAAUCCAUCCAAUUCUUCACAGGCAUUGAUCUGGAUGAUCCAGAGAUGGAGAUGAGUCCCUCAUUUAAAAUAUAAAAUUGGAAAUUUCAAAAUAAAUAAUAAAAUAAUGUAAUAUUUUUAUUCAGAUUACUUGCUCUUGAAAUUUCUUCAAGAUGGCUUAUGCACAGACAUCAGCUCACCAGCUUCAAAUGGAAAGAUUGGCUGAGUGUAAGUUAAAAGGCCCUAGGUUUACAUAUCAUAGCUAUGACCAGAAUGUUGAUUAGGGACCACCACAAUCACAAAGCCAGCCUAAUAAUUCAUCACAAAAAUCCAAACUUAAAACAGUUGAAAGGAAAAAAGCAAAUAUAAAAAGAAAAAAGAGAACAAAACAAAACAGACACAAAACAGCAAACCUUGUGGAACACAGCUUUACAGCAAGAAACAAGCAAAAGAAGAGCUCAAAGCACAUGUUGUAUAGUACUAGAGAAAGUAUGUGGUGAAGAGGGCUCUUUUGUGGUGGCACCACUUUAUUUGUUUGCAGCAUAGAACACAGCACUUGACCUAUGGCUUUGAGAACACUGUCAGCUCACAUUCAUAGACAAGCAUUGUGGGGUAUGUGGUCACACCCCACAAUUGGCUUAGCUUCACUAGAAUCAGCUGGCCCUUAAAAUUGUUCAUAGAUAUUUUCAGGAGAACAUAACAUCGUCUUGUUCUCAAGACCAUUUUGCUCUCAAGCCAUGGAUACGCCUACAAUGAUUGAGGGCGAAGAACUACUGGCCACGAGCAAAGCAUCCCAUGGAAAGGCAGUUAUUUUGAAGAAUGAUGAGCAAGUGGAGGAACUUUUUCCAGUGGAAACACUCAAGCAUAUAAGCUUGCUAAAUUUCAUGAGAUCAAGUUGGUUGUUCUUUGUGAAGUUGGUAGCACCAGCUCAUCACUAAGUUGUUUGGCUAAAUUUUAAAACUUUAAAAGAUUACAUCAUUUCCAAUUAAUAGUAUGGAAGAGAUAUUUCAAAGGAAGGCUUAAGAAGAAAUGAGAAAACAAAAUUUGGAGACAUUAAAUAAUAGCAUAUCAGUCUGAAAUCCAAAACUCAUGCAUAACACUGCUUUAAAAAGUAUCAAUGAUAGAGGUCAAUUUUUUUUGUUUUGUGUUAUGUACUAAAUUUUAUAAAAUUGCCCUUAAAAUAUUUUUAAUAUUAUAACUUUGCACUUACUUGGCUCUUUAACACACUUGAUUUAGAAAUUUUUUAUUAGGGUAAAUUAUUUAAUUUGAGUCAAUUAUUAAUUAGAAAAAAUCAUAAUAAACUCAACAAAUCAAAUCUGUUGUCUAUAUGUACAUGAAUUAUGAACAAAUUUAUUACAUUGGCCACAAGUUGGCUCAAAUUAUUUAAUUUAGCCUUACAUUAAUUAAUUUAGAAAAUAUUAUAUAUUAAUAUGUUAAUUUUAAUAUUUUAUUUAAGAUUAAAUUUAUUAAUUUGAGCCAAUUUGUGGCCAAUGUAAUGAACUUGGCCAUAAUUCAUGUACUUGUAGACAAUCCAUUUGAUUAUGUUGAAUUUAUCAUGUUUUAUUUAAUUAAUAAGUUAACUCAAUUAUUUCAUUUACCCUAAAUUAAAUAAUUUUCCCUAAUUAUCAAUUUAAAAAAAUAUUUGAAAUAUAAUGGGAUUCUGAUCCACCUCUUCUUCUAUAUAACCUAGGGUUUUGAACUAAUAUAAAUAUACAUAUUAUACAUAGGAGAUGAAAGGCAAUAUUAAGAGUAAUUGAAUUUAUGUUUUUUUUUUAAUUUAACUUUUACAUUAUUUAGAUUUAUCUUGUUCUCGUAAAUUUUUCCAUUUCUUUUUUAUUGCUCUCUUUCAUCAAGAGGUUCAUUCAAUACCUAUUUAAUCAUAUGUUUACUUUCCAAUUUUUUUAUAAUAAGAGGUCUAUCCUUUUUUGUGUUUCCUGAUAUGAAUUUAAAUUUAUCUUGUAUUGCUCUGUCUGUUACUAUAUAUUAUUAUCUACAUUUGCAUCAUAUGGUAAAGUUAGUCUUCAUUCUCUAUAGCAACAGUUAUAUGUAUAUGUGUAGCAUAAGACAAAUUUAAUUGUGUGAUCAUGAAUUUGAGUUUAAAUUAUUAUUGAUAGUGUUAAGUCAAAAUUUUAUUAUAUGAUUGUUUGAUUUGAAUAAUACUUUUGCAACUUUCCAGUGGAUAAUAGAUAAGUUUCUCCACAAUAUACUAGAAAUGACUACUAACAUUAUUGUUCAUGCUUUAAUCCAUGUAUGUUUAUAAUAUCUAAAAGGUUUUAAAUUAAUUAUGUCAAAUUGAUUUGAAACUAAAGUAGUCUAAUUUCUUGUUUAUAUCCCAAGAUUUAUCUUGGGUAUUGCAUUUCUCACAAAAACAUACAAGUUGAUCCUGACAAAUUUAUAAUUAUUUUAAAUUUUGAUAGUAGAAUCAAUUAUAGUUUCCCAUUUAUUUGUGUUGAUAGUGUUUGAUUUAAUAAGGUUUUUUUGUGGUUGAAUACUGCUAAUCCAACUAUUCAACCCAUUAAUAGAAGUUUUAUUUGCAAUUGUUGUUUGAUAUUUUUUGUCAAAUGAUGUUCCAAAGACAAUGGAUCAAAUAAUGAUUCCACACAUAUGGUUGAAGUAUUUUAUAUUUUAAUAUCUCAAUUAGGGAUACACCCACGUUAUUUAUUAAUAAAUAAUAUUUUUAAUGGAAUAAUUCAUUAUGAGCUUCAAAGGGAUGAUUUCAAAGUAUAUAGAAUUUUAAUAUACAAAAUUGUGAUGCUUAUAUAUUAUCUUUCUAGCUCACAUAUAUUAUAGGGGUGUAAGUUUUGUUGAUGUUUCAUUAUAAAAACUCAUAUAUAGUCAUAAUUUUAUAUUACUAAUGUAGUUAGUUUAUAUUUAUGAUAGUGGAUAAUGUUAGGUUUUGGGAUUAGUAUUUAACAAGCAUUUUUCCAUAGGUCCAAGUAAAUUUUUUUAAACACUUAAACAUAUAAAUUUAUACUUCCCAAUCUUAUAGUGCUUAGUUUGUUUAAAAGGUUUUCUGCCCAAUAGAAGGGAUUAUCAAGUAUUAUAGCAAGUUGAAUUAUGUUUAUAAGAUUUAACAUGACAUUUAGGAAAUCAAUCUUUUAGAAAUUAUAUAUAUGUAACAAUUAAACCACUUUACAAAAGGAUCAUGAAUAACUUAUACUAUCUAUGGAUGCACUAGUGCCUCCUCUUGAUAUUUUUUUAGCAUUGACUAUCAUUCUAAAAGGAGUUAUAUUAUUGUAUAUUAUUAAUAAUGUAGUGAAACUUUAAUAGAUACUGGAUUGAAUUCAAUUUAAACCACUUGCUAUUCUAAAACAAUUAGCUAAAUAAUUUAAUUAUGAAUUUCCCACACGAUUUCAAAACUAAAAUUUCAAAUCCCCAACUGUAGUGUGGCAAUAGAGAGAUUGCAUUAGAUCUCUUCUCUGCAAUAAAGUGCUAAGGAUUAGUUAAAUAAAUAUUUAGAAUAAACCAAUAUCUUAUGUUAAGGUGGGUUCCAUACAUCCUUCACUUGGAAAUUUCUCCACCAUGGAAAAAAAACUCCCCCCUUUUAAAAUUUUGAGGUUACAUGUAACUCUGUUUUACUAAUAUGAAUGUAUGAUUAAAAAAUCAAAACAUGGCAAGGUGAAGUUUCCAAUUCAAUUUUAUACCAUAAUUUUUCAAAAAUAUAUUAAUAAACUAGCAAAGAAUCCAGCUCUUCUGGCCUAUAAAAAUAAAUUUGUAAUGAUGUCUUACUAAGAUAGAAACAUUGUUAAAAAUAAUCUUGUAAAUCUUUUUAAAGUACAUAAAUAACAUAUGAAAUAAAUUACAUGUUGAUUUUCAUGAUCUGCUCAAAAUCUUCAUUUGGUAAAAUAAAAAAUAAUAAUGAAGUUUUUAUAAGUGAAAUUUAAUAAUAAAUCUAUGUCCAAAUAAACUAAAUUGCUGACUUUUAAAAUUAACUCAGAGAUAUUUAUAUCACUUUUUAGUAAAAAUAAAUCAAUAUAUACAAAAUAUUAUAUAUACAGCUUAACAAACUCCCAUGUAUACUUUAAAAAUUAAAGAUGUGCAUAUUCAUAAAAGUCUAGAUAAUUAUAUUAGUUUCUUAUAAACAUUAUUAUCUAGUUAUUAUAAACAUUUAAAAGCUUGAAUUUAAUUAGUUUAACUUCACAUAAAAUAUUUUGAAGUAAUAUAUGUUUUCAAACUCUUGAACUUUUAAAUUUGAGUUGUUAGAGUCAAUUUCCUAAGUGUCUCCGACACCUUGCAUUGCACAUAUUGCAUAACUCCACUUCCCAUCUUUGGAAAUUCUCUAUUUUAAGGGCACCAUCAUCUUCUUUCCCAUUUUGUAUGACUUUUGGCCCCAAGUUCUAGUUAUCCUAAGGCUGUUCACAUCCCUAUCAUUUGGCUACUUUACCGCUCCCUGCCUUUGGAGCUUCCACUUUCGCCAAAUUGGAGCAAUUGGGAAUUUAUUCAUCGAAAUACAUAUUGCCUUUCCCAUAAUUCGUUAGCACUCAACACAUUAGUGUUCUUGGCCUAACUUUGCGUUUUGGAUUCUUUCCCAUGAUUCCUAUAGCUCUUUUCUUAGCCACUAGUCUUUUGCUCCUAUCCUUGAUUGUUGCACCUAACAACAUUGGAUCGUUACCUCCAUUUUUGAGAUAUCCUUUUGGUUCCAUAGCAAAGACUUUGCUUUACUAAAUUCAGAGGGUGUUUACCCCUAAUAUGUCUCUUUAUCAUUUUUUUUGCUAUGGCUUUAUUCAUAACCUAAUUUAGUGACCCUCCCAUAGGUCUUUUAUAGAGACUACUUUCUUCUAACUCACUAUACCAUCGCAUGGAUAUAGCUUAUUUCCCUUAGGUGUUUUUCCCAUUUGGUUAUCUUGACCAAGUGCUACCCUCAUAAACAGUUCAAAUCAACACUUUGAACCAGGAACUUCAUUCCUUAGCCAACCAAAGACCUUGUCCUUAUUUAGUCAGAAGAUCACCUAGUGAUCUCACCUUGGCACCUUAAUAGAGUUGCCAAGAGGUAUUUGGUUUUCUAGACCUUCAAGUUGUUGACCAUGACCCCGGGGGCAUCCCCCACACUUGGCAGUGCACCCAAGCCAACCCUUACGGCUAAUGGUCCAUAGCAACUAAGACUAGAUGUCCCCAUCUCAUUCACCACGCCCUUGGUGCCACUCGCACCAAGGUGUUCAAGUUAGAUAUGCCGAGCCCAACUAAGCAAUCUAACCGUGCAUCAUGACUUUAAGGCAUCCCUCGUUUGGCGGUGUGCCCAAACCAGUCUCCUCACUAAGAGUCCAUGACCACCGAAAAAUGAGUGUCCUCAUAUUCCAAACCAUCACCACGCUUUAGUGAUUUGGGACUCGAACCCAAGCACUAGAGGGUCGAGACUCGAACCCAACCUCCGUAUAUGCAUCUACAGAUGGCAUUGCACAGUAUGCCUGGUGUGACUCCUUACGUCGGUGCACCAACAUGUACUUAAAGCGUGUUAUAGAUCACAGCUUAGGAACCUAGUUCCUCCGCACUACCAAGUCUUCUCACUUGACAAGUCUAUGAUCAUGCAUGGACUCCUCCAUGCUUGGCCCAAUGGGCCACCCCUUUUGAAGUUAGCACCUUUAACUAGGGGAUUUGUCCCCCUGACUUGCCAAUCUCGCUUCGCAAGUCAUCCGGCCACUGUAACAUGGUUCAUGCAUAAGCGUGAAAAUCUUUAACCAUCGACUUUCGUUCAAAGCCCUCUCUUUGAACACUCGGGAACUACUUCCCCAACCUUGAUAGCCUCGCUUCAUGACCAGCUUCAAGACCAUGCUUCUGCUAUGCCACUCUGAUUUCGCGCGCUCUAGGAACCAUUUACGCUUGGCUUUCUAAGUACUUACCUACCUAGAAUUGUCUUUGGGAACCUUCAAGGAACUCUGUUUCUUAGCUUGCUAAGGCUUCUCCUUUGCAAGCUCCCUACUCACCAUAUGGUCUAAUAUGGACGAUUCCACAUUUUAAACUUUCUAUGGCAUUGCAGUUGCUAGUAACAACAUCCUCGAGCACCCUCUUGAUUCUCCACUCCCAUCUUGUAUAACCACCGUUGGUUAUGCCCUUCGAUUUCUAUGGUUCAAUUCCAUCCCAAUACUACUUGCCUUUUGGCCUCAUAUGUUUCCUUUGGUUAUUCUUCUCCAAACUAGGAGGAUAGCUUUGCACAUUCUACUAUGCCUUAGUAAGUAUUCAUAAGGAUGAACUUACCCAAUAACUUAGGGAGUGGUUCCUCAAUCUAGGCAUACUCACCUUAUAAUCCCACACACCGGGGUUACCGUUGUUACUUAUGCGCCUCCAUAUACCCAUCACUAGCCUUGCCAAAAUCUCAUUUCUGGCUUUGUCGAAAUUGGGUAGACGGAUUCCUCCCAUCUCCACAACCUUGGACGUUUGGAUGGCACAUCUUAUCCAUCAUUUGCUAAGGACUUAGUCCUUUAGGCUUUAUCUAAUGCCCUUGCGACAUCAAACACCACUUCCUGGUGUUUUAAAGUGUUUGGGUGUCCCAAUGAUGGUCUUCUUUGGCAAUGAGCAUUCCCUUUAUGACAUUAACUUACUAUAUUGCAACAUAAACAGCUUCUCCCCCAUAAGGGUAUAUUUAACUUCCUUAUCCCAAUAAGAAGUCUUAGGUAGCUACCUUCUACUAGUUUAACUAAUUAUUUUGCACUUUUUGCUUAGUUGCCUCAUAGUUGUCAAGUCCUACAACUCAUUGCUUAGUGCUUCCACAUCUCCAUCAUUAUCUGGGUCACCACACUCUAAUCGCAUGCCUUCCAGCUUAAGCCAUGCCAUUCCCAUUUCCAUUAUGAUUCCUCUGGGAAGGGGUUCUUAUAAACCCACCAACUUGACCUCAAUGCAACAUGCCUUGGCACAUUCGGUGUCUCCACACCCUCGGCUCUACAAGACUACCUUUAUGACACUCCCCACUUGUGUCAGGGUCUUUGCCAAGACCAAAGUAGUCUUUUUUUAUGCCAACUAUCAGUUAGCACUGCACCAUAGUGUUCACACACAACUCUAUACCAAAAUUGCUUUCUUUUUGGGGAACACCUUUCCCACAACUUUAGCAUGGCACAUUUUGCCAUCGAUGAGAUACCCUUUUGUUCUCAUACUUGGAUCCUAUGAUCCCUCCUCAUCCUUCGUGGGGUACAACACAUCUCAGUCCAAAUGCUUCCAUUAAUACUUUAAGAUUAUUUCUUGAUUCUAUUUGAGUCAUCUAGCUUUUUGGACUUUGUCAUCCGACAACCCGUGAAGUCCUACCUUUGAGGUGCUAGCUCACUGGAAUAUAACUUCUUGUAUUCAUGUCCUGCUCACAAGGACCAUCUUUGCAAGUGUUAUUCUGACACUUGAUUUUUUCUCUUGGGGCAACCUUUUGCCCCUUAGGACCACUUGUCCAUGUGAUGAGAAUACCAACUCAUCCUCUAAAUACACCCCCAACUCCUUGGGUUGUUCCAGCAUUUAUUAAAGGUAGCCCUGGCUACCAUUUCAAGGACUUGUGUCCUUUUCUAUAUUUGACCUCCCAUAGUCAUCAAUUCAGGUCUAAAAGUUAUGAGCACCAGCUUCAACUAUAUGAGGGUAAUUUUGUGACUCCUUUAUUAUUUUGGAGUCUCUAUCUUCCCCGUGAUCCCAACUAUAGUUGUUUACCACAACUACCUUAGCCAGUUUGCUAAGUCAAACACUCAUCUGAAUCACAUCCUCAACUCUCUAAGGAAACCCUUAUAUUGUUCCUAAGAUCCCAAAGUUGUUCUAUUAUUGGCCCUUUUCUAUCAACCAUCUCACCUACAAGUUCACACAUGAACUAUAGUGGAGAGCCAUGUCUUCCCGACCUGCUACUCCUCACAGAUAAGCCCACUCCUAGGACCUUCUGAUGCUAACACCAAUGGUGAUAUACUUGAGCACCAAUAACAGUCGAACUAAGGAACAACUUCGAUACUAAGUUGUAAGUGACUAAAUUUUCCAUUUUACUUUAGUCAUUUAACCACACCUCCGACCACUUGGAGGAGUCUCACUCACAACCUCCAUAGGUCUUAUUUUGGGCUUAGGGACUUAUUAGCCCCCAAGAAUGGCAUCCAUGCCACUCAACCAUUGCACUUGGUCCAAGUGCCCUAUGUGUCCGAUCCCAUGAUCGACACCCCAAGGUACCAUCGACAUAUCAACCCGUUAUGCUAAGGCCAUGCCUAUUCACCUUGGUCAUAUCAGUGGUCUGACACCACCUACAUUACAGUCCUAUCUCUCAAAGACUGAGUCAUCCAUCCAUGAGUGAUCAUCCCAAAUCCACUCCUUAGCAUCCUUAGGAUGCCCACAGACAUAGGGAAUAGCCUUCCCCAACAUCCCUUUUCCGGUCUCCACUAAGUCCCUUUCCGCCCAUGGCCGUGUUUGCCAACAUUGCCACUGGAUUGAGGCCCACAGGCCCAACCACUAAGUCCCAUGGUCCUUUAGGACUUCCUCACCACCUGAUUGUAUCCUUGGUCACUACACCAGAGGACUACUCCUCUUCCUUUCCACAGUCUGGGCCUUUGGGACAACAUUUCAGAACACCGUGGCCCUACGCGGGCCUUAGGUACUCUCCCCACCUUCCGCUUUUGGGUGCUCUAGCCAUGGGCUUAGAGUGAGGUUCCGUUAAGCCAUGCUAGGUAUCCAAGUAGGUAGUGCCACCCACACUUGGACUGGGAACAUCGGCCAGUCGAUCUCCCGGGGGAACUAGAGCCGGCUCUUGAACACUUCACCAAGCUACCCCGCUUGUCGGUCCGUGUUCACUCUAGUGUUGGACUUCCCAGUGGGCAGCUUAUCACCCAACACUGGGUACAACCUUCCUGGGCCAAACUGGCCUUUCCUGGCCAAACUGGCUCUACUGCAGUCCUCCCCCUUACUAUACUUUUGGAGCUCACCAAACCCCCCAGGGUCUGGGAGACGAACGCUUUGGGCUUUCACCCUCUUAGACUCGGACUUGGACUCGGACUCAGACUCAGACUCGGUCUCGGUCUCGGUCUCGGUCCCGGUCCCGGUCCUGGUCUCGGUCUUGGUCCCAGUCUCUGUCUCGGUCUCGGUCCCGGUCUCGGUCUCGGUCUCGACUUCGGACUCCGUCUCGGGUCCUUCUCGGACUCCAUCUUGGAUUCCAUCUCGGGUCCAUCUCAGACUCCAUCUCGGGUCCAUUUCAGACUCCAUCUUGGGUUUAUCUCGAACUCCAUCUCGGACUCCACCUCUAACUCCAUCUCGGACACUUCCACGUGUCAUGUUUUGGUCCUCUUGUGUCCCCUUUUCUAGAGACUCACUCAUGGCUCGCCUCGUGCUUGUUCCUCGAGCACUUCAUUGGGAGUUCCACUCCCACUCUCAACCUUUUCAAGUCAGAGUUUUUAGUCCAAAUGUGUUACGCUCGUUUGGCUUUUGCUUUGGCCACUACCACGUGGCACCCUUUUGGCUCCACUUUGGGGCCUAGAGAUUUUGUGUCUCACAUGGCAAUUAGAGAAGUUAGCAAUUCCAUCUUUAAGAGAAAGAGGGUAAUCCAUGAGUUGCAUUCCAUUGCUUUCAAGAACAAUAUUAGCAAAGAUCAUUACAUGUCUAGGGUGGAAGCUAUGGAGUACAUGUUGAGCUAUGCCCAAGUAGAAAAAGAGGAUGCAUGACAUUAAGGAUGCAAAAGUAGAUCCUAUGAAGCUUUUGAAACUUUAGAUUUGUUUAAAUAGAGAACAAAAGAAUUCACCCAUCUAUACAAAAUAGAAGCACUUACAAAGAACAUAAGCAAUUGGAGUUUAUGUAAAUGCUGUGGAGGCAUUUGCAUAGUAGCUACAUAUGGAUGUCAACAUAUUUAAAUAUGGAUCAAACUCCAAAUUUUAUGUAUUUUUGCUCUCAACUAAUGUGAAUAAACAACCUUACUCCUCAAUAGUGUUCACCUUUGUAUAAAACAGGGGUGUAUUUCCAUAUUUAGAGCCUACACAUCGCUUUAUUAAGUAGUCAAUCUAUAUAUUUGUUCUACAGAUAAAAUUGAGAUGUAAAAUGAAAACUGAAUCUAAUGAGUGGUGCUCAUAAUAUUAAUUCAUGCUUAUAAACAAAAUAAAUUACCCCAUUAAAAUUACCUUUUCUUCUUCUUCUUUUUAGUAUUGUAGCCUAUAUGCUAUGCAUGCUUGUCUAGUCAUUUGCAAAUUUGAUGAUGUGUGUAGCAGCCAGAAGUAAAAGCCACAAUCACAUAGUCAACUUGCAAGAGUUUAUAAAUGAAAAAUACUUUUAAAACUAUAGGGAAAACCAUUACAUUUUGGCAAUACUCGUUUGUUUAUUGCAUUAUUCUAGAUUCUCAAGAACUACCUAUAUUGUCAAGCCUUGUGUGAAAGGGAUGGAGUGUAUUCCUAUACUUGAUGCUAAUCACAUAUACUUUCAACAACCUUGAGUGUAAAAAGCAUCUCUUCCUUGUAAAGCUCUCUUGCCUGAUUAGUAAAGAUAUAUCAUCAAGUUCUCUAUAAAGUGUAAACACUACAUUGCCAUAAAUAAUAAUCAUCUAUAUCAAUGCUUGGUUCACACUUGUAUUUCUCUAGGUCCUAUAACAAGUUCACCUAGGUAAAAAAAGGUUAUAUGAGUUAAUAGGACUGUAAUCUUGAUUUUGUGUCUAAAUGAAAAGCUCCUCGACCUUUCCAAAUGAGCUAUAUAAUCAUUUAUCAAGAUGUUGAAAGUUUCCUAGUUCAGAAUGUAAAAAGCCUCUUACAUCUAGUUCUUAGCAUCUUUUAUAUUCAAGUUUUUCUUAUAAACAUCAAUCAAAAGAUUGUAAUAGCCAUGAUUUAUCUGGAAAGUCAUGCUUUACAUCACCCACAACACAAAUAAUUAUAAAAAAGAAAGAUUCAUAAAAGUUGCAAUGGAAGAACACUACAACCUAUGUAACAAGAGACUAGACUUAUGCAUUUAUGUAACAAGAACGUUAAUGUGACCUUUAGGUAGGUGUCCAAAUAGCUAAGGCAUCUUCUUUCAAUAUAGAACUUGUGCCAGAAAACCUGUUGCUAUCUAUACAAGAAAGAUCAAAGUUCAAGAGAAGAGAAGAAAAAUAAGAGAAAAGAAGAAGAGAAAAAAAAAAAAAGAAAAGCAAGGUGUUUAUACAUAAGUGGAUGUUCUCUAAGUAGCUGUCUGGAUUCGGAACCACCACAUGCCGAUCGAACCGACCAGGACGGACAAGCGCCUUGUCGUGAGAUUCGGGGAAGUUCGUAGCGGCGAUCACUAUGAUGCCUUCGUUUUGCUUGAAACCGUCCAGCUCCACCAACAGCUGGUUCAGUGCGCUUCUUCGCAGCUGCGAAUAAGUCCCGCACUCGCCAAGCACCAACUCCGACGAACAUUUCCUCGAACUCGCUCCAGCUGCAAUAGAAAAACGGUACCACUGCUUCACCAGCAAUUGCCAGAGCCAGCAUCUCUUUCCUGUUCCAGGAGGCCCAACCAGAAGGACGCCUUUCGGUAGCUUGCCACCUAGACGGGUAAAUUUCUGCAAAGAAGCAACCGAGACUGGAGUUACAAACCGGAGAAACACGAAAGAAAAAUAGAUAAAGCAAUGACCUUUGGAUCCCAAAGAUGGUGAACAAUCUCCUCCAACUCCGCUUUGGCUUCGUCGACUCUUUUCACGUCACUGAACUUGGUAUUAGACUCCAAGCUUGGCUGUACCUCCUCAUUGAGACCCAGCCCUGCCAGGAACCAGGGGCGUGAGUAAGACCUCCUUUCCUAUACAGACAAGGAUGCCAGUUCAACACGUAGGCAAGACCUUAAAACAAACGCAUCCAUGCAUUGCAAGCCAUCCUCUACGAUGCUUACCUUUGCUGAGGCCCUUGUCCUUGACAAUGGCCCCAACGCCAGAGAGAAGUAGAAAGCCCAGAGCCAAGGUUCGAACAGUCCGCCACACUUGAACUCUAAAACGUCCUUCGGACGUGACCAUGUGGAUUGGCGCACUGGGAGAGCCCAAAAUUCCGUCUUUCGUGGCUGUUCCUACUGCCGGAAACGCCGAAGACAUGAUCGGUCGCGCCUCAGCUUGAAAACUUCCUAGCGAUGCAGUUGCUCCUACACGGUUUAAAAGAAAAUAGGAGGAUCAGAUCCGAUAAAGAAAGAGUUACAGCGUUUACCUCUUUGCAGCGUUUUCAACAAGGCACUGUCAUCGAGCCUAUCGACCUUGACGAGAGCUUUGAGAUACUCGGCCAAAGCACUGGCGCUGCGCUGCGGAAGUGGUCUACCCUCGGGAUCCACCUCGUUAAGAUCUCUUAGAAACUUCACUUGUUUCUCCUGAGCAUCGGGCCCUCCUUCUCUCUCCAGCUGCUCCAGCCUUCUCGAGAAAUUGCUUGUGUAGCUGGACAUGCAGCGUCUCUUGAAAUUCAAGCAUCAUUAGCAACGGGAAGAGGACGAGGGAAAUCGGAUAGAAAAAUGCCUGCAUCCAGCUGCUUCAACACAAUCGCGCGUCCCAGCCCAUACAAGGAUGCCGCCGACACCAUCUGCUUGGCGGAGGAGUCUUCCUGUGGUCGAAAUCCGCGGGCAAUCAGCGCGGGCGCUAAGCCCUAAUGGGAGAGAGGAAAGAGAGCGCCAUUUCUCCCGCUCCGAGCUCCCAAAAUUGAUCCUUCACGUGCUAGGACGCCCUGGCAGCCACCGCCUCCGCCAGAAGUCCCCAAACUAUCACGCGUUUCAAUUCCCCCUUAAUUUCGUGGCAUAUUCUCCCGCGUGAGACGGAAGAUUCUAAAAGUACACAUUAAAAAAAAAAAAAAAAAACCCAGCCUUUUGGCUGGUUAUAUAAUACAAAGAAAACUGUACAUUCUCUUCAUUGUAAAAAAUGUGGUGAUGCCCCUGGAGCUAUCGUUAUGGGGGCAGCACUGAGUUUCUUCGUUCUUUAGAAUUUCUUCCACGAAAACCAGUUGAUCGAUCAUCGAUUCUGGAAGUUGAAAACUUUGAUGCAGAUGGCAAAGCACACCGCGAAGACGACGACGAGGCCGACGUGAACUCCGGCCACGACGCCCAAGAAGUCGUGCCUGAACCCAAAGUAGGACCUCAAGAAGCCCUCCACGGUCGUCUCUUCGCCGUCGGCCCGGAACAACGGCGUGGUGACAUCUCCAAGCUGAGACGUGAGGAGGCCGUAGAGAGACCACGCCGCUGGCGAGGCCCAGUAGUACCACCUCCACCACACUGGAAUCGCCUGAGAGACAAACCAAAGUGUUAGGGAAUCGCAAAAGAAAUGUGUGGAAUUCAUGAACUUACGGGUCGAGGGAUGAUGAAGCCAGAGAACAGGUUCCAGAUUCCGUAGAAUGCCGUGGAUACGAUGGUUGCAAUCUGGUCGUUGGGUGUCAGCGCCACCGUCACCAUGCCGUAGAGCGUGUAGUAGAGGAACGUCAUGUACAAGAAGAAGAGGAACCACAAGAACUUGGCUGCUGUCCAUUCCAGCUGCAUCGUCGCGUACACAAUGAGUCCAUACGCGAAGGCUUGCACGAACACGUAGGGAAUCUCGAUCAGGACCUGGACGCACGGAGUUUUCCUUGAUGAGUCAAACGAAAUCUGAAGAGUCGGAUGUAUGCUUUACCUGAGCAAAAGCAUAUGGAAGGGGAGAGUACAUUCCAGCGGCUCUUUCUCGAUAGUAGACCGUUCGCUCGAUAGCAACGACUGGCUGCACUCCUGACGAAUUGCUGAACCCAAUGAAGAGCACAGCAGCGUAUAUAGAUCCCAUCAGAUUAAAGAGGUCUUGUUCUCGUGAUCUGCUCACGAGAGAAAGGCAGGAGUCAGAACCAACGCUCGAUUGAACUACACAACGUUUACCUUUUCGAGCCGAUGUCCCAAAACAUUGUGCCAAAUAUUAUCGCGACAACCAAGGUGAAGAACAUGCGAACCAGAACGUAGUAUGGAUUUUUCCAGUAUGACUGAUGUUGUUUCCACAAGCAUCCCAUGACCUGUCCGAGGAACGACAGAGGGUAUUGCGUUGGAAACCAUAUGUCCUCCGUGCCGGGAACCGGAGUGCUCAGCUGAGUAAUAAUAGCUUCAUUGUGCCUAGACACACCAGUGGUUUAGCCAAGAAAGAGAUAAUGGUCAAGUGUGCUUACUGGUAGACUGGAGAAGUUUUAUAGAUGUCCGCAAAAUCUACUCCCAGACGAUUCUCCACGUCUGCAGCGGUAACCUCUAACAUCCAUGUAGCUGGAUUGUAUCCUUCUCUUAUGUUAGGAACACCGCUGAUACCCUGGGGAAAUUAAUCCAUAUAAAUCAUCUCAAGUCUGCAAGAACAAAGCAAGCGACUUACCUGGAAGUAUUCAACAAGUUUGUGCGAGUUCUUUCCCAAGGAACCUGCGUAGAUAACGCGCCCUCCGCGUUUCAUCAACAGAAGCUGGAGAAAGCAGGCAGGUUUUCAAGAGAGUUUGCAAGGUAAUAAUCCCGUACCUCAUCGAAGGCCUCAAAAAUGUCAAUGCUAGGCUGAUGAAUGGUGCAGACGACAGUGCGACCGGUGUCGACAGUGUUGCGGACCGUUCUCAUGACAAUUGCUGCCGCUCGUGCAUCCAGUCCGGAAGUUGGCUCGUCCAUGAAAAUAAUUGAAGGAUUUGCAACGAGCUCCACGGCAAUUGUCAGUCGUUUCCGCUGCUCGGUCGAAAGUCCAUCAACUCCAGGGAGACCAACCAACGCAUCCCGGAGAGGGUUAAGCUCUACAAGCUCCAUAACUUCUUCCACAAACAUCUGUUCCAAAACUCACCUUAGCAAACUUGACUACGAAAAACAUCUCUCUCCUUACCUUUUUCGUCCCCUUAUCAAUGUCAUCCGAUAGUCGGAGCCAAGCAGAAUAAACCAGUGACUCGUACACUGUAACGUUGGGUGAAUGAAUGUCAGUUUGUUCGCAAUAACCCGAAAUCCUAGCAAAAGUAGCCUGGUUUUUGGGAUAGCCGGAGAUGCGAAUGUCGCCUUCAAUGUAGCCACCAGUUUUACGCCCGGCUAAAACAUCCAUGAGAGUUGUCUUUCCAGCACCGCUUACACCGACAAGAGCCGUGAGGACUCCAGGCCUGAAGCUACUGCUUACGUCGUGCAGCAACUGUAAUCUAUUUUCUGUCACGCCUUGUUGCUUCAUUUCCUGUUACAAGUGCAUUAGAACUCAAUAUCCUACAAAGGAAAUGCGUAAAAGCAUACCGCGGGCAUGUCAACGUAGUAGUUAACAUGAUUGAAUGACAUUGCUAAAGGUUGAAACGGGAGUAUCAUUCCCCUUUUAGAAUCGGCACCCAUUCGACCAGACGUAAGCUCCAAAUCUCCUGGCAUUCGAUGUUAGACCAUAUAAUGAAAUUUGUGAUGGCACCAUUACCUGCAUUAGAAGAUCUGCCCGAUCGCUUUGAUUUUGCACGCACUGAUCUUUCUGAGACUUCGCCGGUACGGUUCACGUUCUGCUCUUCUAGUAUUUCCUCAGACACUACGGCCUGCGGUUUUCCAGGAGCUGUUUAAAUAGAAAAAAUGAGUACCUACAUGGAGAAAAGAAAUAGAUUCCUACGUACCGCUGAAGUAAGCGAGUGCCAAAGUGAAAACAACGUUGAAGAGAAUGGCAUAAGCCAACUGAGCACCAGUUCCAAGCCAAUACCAGUUUUUAUUGGGGAACAGGCCUCGAGACUCUAGAACUUGGUUGCCAACGGUGGUGGUCUGAUUGGCAUUUUCGAGAAUCUGCCAUCUUGAUGCACUGAACUCGUUCACGGCAAGCGCAUUCUGUGCGUACAUCAUGGGCGACGACCAAUAUCCCCAAAUCCACCAAGGUUCAACGUCCUCUGGAAAUUAAAGACCAUUAUAAGUUGUGCUACCUGAGUAUAGUCAAUGGAUUACCUCUAGAAAGAAGAAAACCACCGAGGACAAGAACUAUCAGCAGCGUGAAAGAGCCGAAGGUGUUUGCUACAACCAUAGUCCGAGAAAGUGAAGCAAUGAAUCGGAAAAGACCUCCCGACAUUUGAUGAAUUAGGAACAUGAGAAGGAACUGCUGGAAGAACCUGAAACACUCAAACAUAAAAUAUCAACACUAUUUCUCAUUAAACAUCAAUAUAACAAACCUGGCGGCACUAGAAGCAAAUCCAACCACGUAGUACGUCAUGCACACCCAAAGUGCUGAUUCGAGCAGGGACACUGGAAUUCGAGUGAUCACGUUAGGAAGAGAAAAUGCCCACGCAGGAAAUAGCAUCUGGUCCCGCUGCUUGUAAAAUACUGGAAGGCGCGCAAUGGUCAUUGACAACUCCGCAAAUCCAUUAAACAUGAUGAUGAUCAGGCCGAAGAACAAGGCUCCCAUGUAGAGACUGCCAUCACCAACAGUUCUGUGAUGCAUUUCGGUCCGGAGAAACACAGUCAUCGUGAUAAAGGCCAGAAGAAUCAGCUGCAUUGGAAAUUUUAGUAUCAGAUAUAUGGAUUUUAGUCUUCGAUAACAUACCUGAGAACCUUUGAACACGUAGACGAAUGAGUCCUCUUCAUCAAAAGUAUCUCCCGCGCCAAGAGAGCCUUGAANNNNNNNNNNNNNNNNNNNNNNNNNNNNNNNNNNNNNNNNNNNNNNNNNNNNNNNNNNNNNNNNNNNNNNNNNNNNNNNNNNNNNNNNNNNNNNNNNNNNGACCGACAUGGAACUUUUGAAAGGCAUCCGCGAACUCCUGGACAGGUAUAAAUCUGUAUGGCAUCCUCUUGUCAGCCCAAUACUAUUCCUGGUCUUUCCUUGACGUAACUUCUUGCAAAAAGUCCGCGACACCUUUCCUCGGAGGACAUUUAAAUCCCUGCGUCUCGAAGAAAUCCAACACGAGUUCCCGGGGGCCCUGAUAUACAAUCUGCCCCUCCGAUAGAAGAAUCAAGUCGUCGAAAAGCUCAAACGUCUCGGGAGCAGGCUGGAGCAAGGAGAUGACCAUGGUAGCAUCGAGCACAUGGACAAACUGCCUUAAGCUCUUCACUAUCUGAAAUGUGGUCGAGCUGUCAAGACCGGUUGAAAUCUCGUCCAUGAAAAGAGACUUUGCAGGCCCAACGAGCAUCUCUCCUGCAAAAUAAACAUUUGUCAUAAACAAAUCGUGACCAAAAAGCUUCCAGGCUUGCAAGUCUUACCUGUAGUGACACGCUUCUUUUGUCCUCCAGAAAUACCCCUGCGCAUGGCGUCUCCGACAAGUAUAUCAGAACAAAUGUCCAAACCCAAAAUCUGGAAGCGAAAAAAUGCAUGAGAACCGCGAAUCCUCUUUGAUCACGAUCCAAAACACGCUAACCUUCAGCACAUAGUCCGUUACAAUGGAGGUCUCCUGACCCUCUAUAGCCGACGCCUGUAAGAAGCUCGUAAGAACGCUGCCAACCACAAAGUGCUUAUUACCUUCAUGAACGCAUCAACAUCGGGAUCCGGUUUGAUCUUGGCGUUUUUCUCCCGUCUUGAAAGCUCCGUUAUCAUCUCUGACACAAGUUAUAAGAAAGUCAAUUCCACGUGCACGCCAACCCAGGACGUUGUUUACCAUAUCUGCUUCCCACGCCUUGACACCUAGAAGCAAAAUCAAACGUCUCUCUCACCGUCAACUCCCCGCUAUGCAAGUCGUGUUGGCUUAUGUAAGCAGAAGUCCUUUGAGGCACAAAUUCAGUCAAUGUGUGGCCAUUGUAGGUGACUCUCCCAGAAACCUGUAAAGUGAAAUCUAAGAUGAGAACCAUCUCCUAAAAGCUGGAGGACUUCCUUACCUUGAGGCUUUGGUCCAACUUUCCAGAAAGCGCAAGAAGCAGCGUAGUUUUCCCUGCGUUAGGAGGGCCCAGCAGAAGUGUCAUCCUGUAGAGAAGUAUGAGUACAAGAUUUUCGCCGAAAGAUGCAGCAAUUUCAUUACCUGGAAGGCUUCACGAUACCACUAACGUUGCGCAAAAUCGUGAGGACGUGUUUCUUAGAAGGGAGCAAGUGUAGCUUUCCCAAGAUUUGCUGGAAAAACAAAUCACAACAAAAAAGUAAGAGCCAGAGAGCGAUGAAAAGAUUUUUUUGUUAAUAGUACGAACCUGGGACAUGUUGAUGACAAAGUUAAACAGCGUCGGUAGAGCUCGCUUGCCGACACGUACAGCAGCUUCGAUUUGAAGUCCUUCGUACCUCACCUCGAUUUUGGGAAGGUCUAUCCCGACUCUGAGACAAUUGUUCCAAGAGUGAGAAGAAACUCGAAUCAAAACAGUUCUACUACCUGUCGAUCCUUUCCCGGAGCUUGCGGAUGAACAUCUCGUUCUCCGUGUCCGUUGUUGCCAAGAGCUUCUCCACAAGAUUCCUCCUCUCCGUGAGGCCCAAGGACUUGACAUCAAUGUGCUCAUGGCGAGUGCUCCCAUGCUCGCCCACAUUCUUGAUUAUGGCCGUCCGGAGGCGAUCGUAUGUGGGAAGCUUCUCCAGCGCGGCCCAUUUCAGCGCCUCCUCAUCGUCCACCUCCCUGACCGAGCUGCGCGAGAAGACAUUUUCCGUCCACGAUCGCGAGCUCGCCGCUCUCAUCAGCUCCACGUCGGUCGGAAGCGCCAUCGCUCCCCCCUUGUCCCCUCAAUAUUUUCGGCAAUAUCUGGAAUUCCGGGGCGAGGCGACCUACAAAAUUCCACCCCCGAUUCGACGAGCUACCACUAGAAGUCGAUUCGAUCGAGAUCCAGAUCCCAGAUCCUGGCGCUACAUCCCUGGAUCGAUCGAGCCGGAAGAAAUGAGGAGAAUGGAAAAUAGUUUGGGAGCUAGGGCUUUAUAUAAUUGACCUCUUUGGACCAUGGCCGAAAACUUCCACAAACAAGCCCAUGCUACUCCAUGGAAGCUUCUCAUUUAUACGCUUCUGGGCUGGGAUUUGAUCCGACGGUCCAGACGCUUAACUAGAAAGCGCACGUGAUGCUGUGAUUUCGUGACCCUCUUCUAUGGGACAUAUGGAGAGUCCUCGCCAAUAAAAACCUGUUCUAGACAAAGUAGGAGUGCUCUUCUCGACGCCGCCGCACACGCUUUGGCGUGGAUGCAAAGUUUUCUUCCCGGGUUUUUGAGCGAAAUUUCGAAAUAGAAGCGUUGACAGGGUGAAUAUGCUGCGUACACUAGUUGUUUCAGCAAUGGUGUUUGAACACCACCAAUAGGAUUGGAAAAAAAAAUGGUGGUUGUUUCCUCGAAUUCGACCGGAAUCGUUCGGCUAUUCAAUGUGACCUGAUCAAAGGUCUUUACAAAUUGUAGUAACUUUUGAUUACUGAAGAAAUUUUAUGUUUACUGGAGUUAUUUUAUUCAAUAUAAUUCAACUAGUUUGGAGUCAACUUUGAUUUGCGAUCUUUGAGCAGCAUUCAAGAUAGUUUUGCUCGGUGGAAGGAGGUCCCGUGCUAAUGUAAAACACUUCGGUUUACUAGCAGUUUUUUAAGUACAACUUGUGGUAGAGUUUGAUCUCAUUACUAGCAGCUUUUAAAUACAAUAUGUGCUGUCAUAAGAUCUCGCUGCGCUAUAUGCUAAACAUUCGCGUUUGCAAAUCAAAAAGCGAUUGAGAUUCUCAUCUUGUAAACUUACAAUCUUUUCGUCAUGUAGGGACCUUCUAGCUCAUAGCCUAGUUUCCUGUAGUAGUGUCUAGUUCCCACUCCGGAUAUCACUGCCAGUUUCACGGAUCGAUGCUCCUUGCGAGCUAUCCUCUCGGCUUCUUCCAUCAAAAGAGUUCCAUAACCCUGUACAAAUUGGAAGUAGCUUGAGACAAUAGGAUAAAGAUGAAAACAAAUAGACAUGGUGUUGUAGCUUGUCGGCGUCACGGCCAUGAACCGGCACCACAGUUCCAUAAACGUGCAGCUCGCGAACUAUCGAACAUCUUCCCAGCAGAUCGGGGCAUGUAGCGUUGGGACCGCAUUUUCUCAGGCGCAGUAAACCCACCAGUAUAUCCUAGAUGAUCACUCUCAAGCAAGAUAAGCAUGAUAUGCAUGAGAAAGACUUUGAGAAAGCUUUAGGCAAAAUACC
rnacentral:lncRNA from 1 species